rnacentral:lncRNA from 1 species
UCGGAGCUUCAGAUCUGCAUACAGCUGCAAAUCCAAAGAAAGCCACGCGUUAUCCCUUCCCACCAAGAAGAUAUCCAUUUCCUUGCUAGGGAGUGAAUUAAGACUGACAGGGUGUCGAAGCCUGUGCAAUAAUAAAUACCUGCUCAAACUAAAAUUAAUUUCUGUAGAUAGCGGUGAGCAGGGUCGAAUCCACAGGGACUGGGAGUAAUUGUUUCUUUUCAAGUUCACAGUGACAAGGGGGGUGUUUUUAUGCAGAAAGUGACAAUCAAAUAAAUGCAAAUAAAAUCUAAGAAGCUACUAAAAAUUAAAUAACAAAUUACCAAAAUCAAAUGAAUGAUAAUUAAGGAUCUAGCCAAGGAAUAACUUCAGCAAUGGUUCACCCAAUUGAUCAUCGAUAAGCAAAGGCAAUCCCAAUUAUUUACUAAUAAAUAGGUUAUAACUGCCAAACAAGCGAUGACAGUCAACCCCUCCUUACUGUGUCGAUGAUUAAGGUACGCCCGUUAAUCACUGCUCUAAUUGAGAAAUAAUCCUAGGUACGCCCGUAGAAUUUAAUUCCCCAAUUGCCUUACGUAUUAGAGGAGCCCUAUUCUAAUCAAAUAACGCACUACCAGGGUUAUUUUAGAUUAGCCCGUGUAUUCCCCUGACACAAGUCUAAUUAUGCCAGUUGCCACUAUUUUAGAGCAAUUAAACAAUUACGGAUUUAAUGCCCUAAUUGACAAUAGAUUAUCCAAUCAACUAAUUAUCUGGAUCCAAGACAAUCAAUUAAUUAAAUAACCAUAAACAUAGCAACCAAGAAAUAUGCGGAUACCAAUAAAUAAAAGAAAAAGAUAAAAUUAAAUCGAUCUCACAAAUUUUAGGCGACCCAGAGCCUUCGUUGUCCCUUGACUAGACAAAGGGAUUUAGUUCAUGUUUGCAGAACAAAGCCCAAACAGAAUUGCAGAGAGAGACGCAGCCAUCAAUUGGGCAAAUGCCCAAGUUCAAUUCGUUUGAAGGAGUAAGCUAAGCUAUCCUGCCAUGCGUAAGAAAAGUAAAAAGCAAAGCUCCAGGAAAAGUCAACAAUAAAGCUCCUAAGCUACAGACGAAAGACUAAGCAAAGCCAGCCAUCCUUUCCUCUCUGAAGCAUUCUACUCUAAUGCCUCGCCAUUGUGCGGCGGCUCUCCUCCGAGAGGAGGAAAAUUCGAGAGAGACCCAAGAAGACUUCGGCCUCCUCCUUUUAAUGCUGUCUGCGGGCCAAUUACCAAGAAGGGUUGUGGUUUGAUAUUCCAAAAAUGUCCCUAGAUGCCUGCUACUUGAACUCUUUCUUGAUAAUUGUCAAAUUGGCCUUGAUUGUGAUAUUUUUGUUCUACUCCCUGAAAUAAAUAUAAAUUACGAAAAAUGAGUAGAAUCUAAUAAUUAAUUCAUAUCAAGUUAGGUAAUAGGGGAAAUUAAUAAUAAAAUAAAUGACAAAAUUGCAACCUAUCAAAGACUGUCAAAUUAAGCUUGUCUUGUACCCUUCUGGUGCUAUAUGCUAAUGUACCUGUCAAGCCUCAAGAUUUUUCUUGAUGUACCUUGAUACCAUAAUGAGAUGUAAUUUUUGCACAAUAUCAUCAUAAUCAUCAUUAUCAUUAUCAUUAUCAUUACUUUUAUAAAAGUAUGGUGAAUAUUGGUGCUUUGGAGUGUAAGUACGAUAUUGUCUUAAUCUUUGCACUUCCCAUCAUGCCCUCUUUCUUUUAUUAUGUAAUUUAUUAUAUUUCAUUUAUGGUAAUUAUUAAUAUAAAACCACAUUCCAUUAUUUUUCUAUUAUAAUGGUAAUAAAUAUGAAAAACCUUCUAUCCCAAACUCUUCACCUACUCAUGGUUGUUGAGAAAUAUUAAUAUUAUUGAAAUAGAAUUAUAGUUACAUGUACUGAGAAAAUACACAUCAAAAUAAAAGAAUAAAAACUACAAAUCAAAUUAAAAAAAGAAAAAAAAUAAGCUACAAACAAGAAUAAAAGAAAGGAAUAAAAAAGGGUAAACUCAUCGUCUUUGCUAAUGAAAUUUUAUUUGCUCUACAAAAAUCCACAGCAAAUUAGGAAUACUUAUGGUGGAAUAUUUACAUCUUAUAAUUAACAAACACAACACUUAAAAGAAUGCAGAAAGUUUAUAUUCAAAGAAUUGAUAUUUAAUUAAAGAAUAUGGUAUCUCAUUUCGUUUUAAACAAUUGUGACUAACAAAUUCAAUUCAUAUAAUAUGUGAAAUAGGCAUAGUAGACCUUGUAAACAAUAUGGAUGCAAAGACUUAAGUUUUACUCUGCAUGAAAAUUCAUGUCACUGAAAUUUUUGAACGAAGGAAACUGGUCCUACGUUCGAGUUAUAAAUAAUCAACCAAUUAAAAUUGUUAUAAUUGUACUAUUAGGUACUAUAGUUGUACUAAUAAUCAACCUAUUAUGUUUGUACUAAAAAGAAAUUGGUCCUACAUUCAAAUUACACAACCUAUUAUAAUUGUACUAAUACUAGUUUCAAAAACAUUGUACUAAUAUAAUUUUUUUAGACAAAGAAAAUAAAUAUACAAGAAGGAAUCAAAAUUUAUUGAAAUUAUGUCAAAAUAUUGAGUUUCUGUUCAAAUCUCAUCUUUUCAAUUGUUAAAAUUAGAUGACUUCAUUAGGAUUUCCGCCGUUGAUGUUAAUGACAUAUCUAAAUUUGACUGGUAAAUAAUUUCAUCAAGAGAUCAAGACUAGAGAUGAAAGCACAACAUAAAACAUAUCCUCGAAUAAUAGAAAUAAAAGAAGCCAAUUUAUUUACUCUAAUGCCCUUUUUGAAAUUGAAAGUUUUGUUAUUUAUUUCAUAGAUGUUUAUUAGUUCUAUUGACUACACCAACUUUUAAUAUCUUGAGGUAUGAUCCUUGCUUAACAAUAUUGUUUUGUUUAUGAUAGCUUAUAAUAUUAUGAUUUUAUCUAAUGACACCAUGGGUAUCAAUAUUAUCCAAAAAGCUCAGAAAGCAUUUUGACAAAUAUAAGAUUCAUGAUUUCAAUGUAAAUGAUAUUUUCAAAACAAUAACUUUCAAAGAAAAAGAAAAAGUUUAUGAUGUUAACAAUUUGUAUUUGCCAAAAUAUUUUAGUAUAAAAAAUGGAUUAAUCUUUCCUACACUGACAGUAUAUACACUAUCAGCGUUGGAUGAUUGACAACUAUGUAAAAUUUGAAUUUGAAAUUCAACUUUAGCACACAUGUCAUGAAUCCAACGAUGAUAGUGUAUACACCGUCAGUGUAGGAAAGAUUUAUUCUAAAAAAAUAUAAAAUUUUUGAGACAAUAUAAUCAAAUGCAAAGCCCGUGAGUUUUACUAGUGACUCCUAAUAAAUUUGACAAAACACAUUUGAAACAAGGGAAAAUGAUUAUUGGUCCUUACGUAUCACUGUCUACUAAUUUGGAGAAUGGCCUGUACACUGACUAAAAGAAAGAUUUUACGAAUGAUGACAGACAAGAAUUUGGAAUUUAGAGAACAAAUCUAAUGUGUUUCUAUUUCUAGUAUGCAUUUUUUAGCCAAUCUGCUCAAGGGAGACUGUUUGCUUUCUUUGUUUGUUUCACUUUUACUUCCUUUUUUUUGGGGCUUUUCUAGCGGGUGCCCAUUACCGUUAACACACCUGAAUUCUACCUAAUAUACCAUAUAUAUACACAUUCUAACAAAUAUUAUAUUCCCUUACGUUUAUAUACUUUACUUAAUUAAUUUAACCUUUUCAAAAAUCUAACUCCUUAAGUAUAUCUUAACAAGUGCCCAUUGGGCACACAUACCCUUUUUUUCAAAAAAAGAAAAACAAAAAGAGAUCCACCUUGAGAUGGUGGAAGUUUUGCAUCGAAUUUUUCUAUUUUAUUGAGAAAUACAUCUAUACUAUAUUAAAAGCACAAGUUCGAAUUAGUGGAUUAGUGCGUUAGAUUUCAUAUUUGAUAACAUCCUCAAUAUGUAAGUUCAUAUUAUUUGUUAGCCUUGCCUUAUUUGUGAUAAUUGAAACCAUUUAUUUAUAUAGGAAAAUAUUAUUUGCGCUCCUACAAUUUGUUUGUCAUAUAGUCUAUAAAUGAAAAUUAUAUGAUUAGAAUGAUAGUGGGAGUGUGAUUAACAAAAAUUGGAGUGCAAAGAAUAUUUCGCUUUAUAUAAUGUCAACACUAAAAUCGUUACUUUAGAAGUUAUUUUGAUAUUGAAACAUAUUACCUUAAUUUUCUUGAGGAAUCAAGGUUCGUACAGGAAACCAAUUCAAAGUUCGUAUUUGUAACUUCAUCAGUUAGUUUAGAUUAGACAGCUAAACUUUACUUCACUUGGACGAGGAUGUCUAUCACUAAGUAGGACUCUAGCGUCAAUGGUGUUUUAGAACUUGGAAAAUAAGUGAAGGUAUAUUAGGUUUCACAAAAAAAAGGAAGAAACACUAUUAUAUUAUAUAGUAAUAGAAAUAGAUAGACAGAUGUAUACAAAUUAAAGUUUGUGAUUGAUCAAAUUACUAAGAAUAAUAUAUUACGUAGUAGUGGCAAGACAAAAUGGUAAAAAAUAAGGGAAAUAAUAAUAAUAAUAAUAAUAAAGCGAGAGAGAAAAGAAAUAAAUGGAAAAUGGAAAUAAGUAAAAGAUUAAUGGUAAUUUCAUCCCUAAACAUGAAUUCGGAGGGUAAAUUGAGUAAAUUAACAAGUCUUUAGGAAAGCAAAUUGCAAUAUCUGGGGUAAAGUGAUACGUUACGUCAGGGGACAAUUUUGAGAGCAAACUGUUGGGGGACUUAAUGCAAUUAGCCUUAUUCUUUUUGCGGUUUUGUUUUGUGUAGAACAUUGACACUAUGAUUUGAUCGGGUCUUCUAAUCAGGAUUAACAUCCAAGAUCUGAAUCCCAUGUGAGCUGUAGACAUAUGCUUAUUCUAAUGAGCUCCGUCAGUUAUAGGUGCAAGUAGUUUGGCAUUAGUUAAUUAUCAUUCGACGAAAUUGGUGGCUGAAUAUUAAUUAAUCUAAUCUUUCAAAAUUUAGGAAAAUUUUAUGGUUCCUUUUAGAUAUCAUUUUCUCAACUUGUAUUUCUCACUAAAGAUAGUAAUUGAAAUUUUAAAUAUUUAAUAAUGUUUAAUCUAAGGGCCAAUAACACUUCUUUUACCAUCCAACGGUAAAUUUCACUAAAUUAUAGGUAUGAUACCCAAAAGGAAUUGUAAAAUCUCCCCAAAUUUUUAAUGCUUCUAAAGAGUUGUCUCGUACUGUUUGUUCUUUGAACUUGUCAUAUAAAAUUCACUGUUUUGUCUCUAGUUUCUCAUUCUGGUUGUAAUUAACAUAGCACAUGAUAACUAAACAAAAUCAAUACUCAUAAUAGAAAAGAAAUGUUUUUGUCACGAGGGUGUUGACAUAGUAAUUCAGAAGCAGAGAAUUGCAUGAUUCCCCUUGCAGCUUUUGCAUGCUCCCGUAGAAUAAAGCCAAUUUAAUAACUCCAACUUCCAACCACUGGGCCAAUGGCUCAGUGGCCACCAGGGAGGGAUGUCAGGCUCCGAGCUAGCACCGCCUCAAUGGUGCCUCAAUGGUGGUCGGAUAGUUAGCAGAGGGAAGAGAGAGAAAGGAAAUAAGGAGAGAGAAGAGGAUUAACAGAAAGAAAGGAAGAAUUGGAAAUUGGAGUAUUCAGACAAAAUGAUCUUAACUGCCUUGGUUACAAUCACGUGGGGGUAUUUAUGCAAAUAUGCCACAACCGACUCAAUGAAUACUAACUAACUCUUAGUGAGACGACAACGUUUCUUGGGUUUGUACCCUGUGUAUACCAAACGCUAGUAAUCGUGAAUAAAACGACAAUAGCUAUUAUGCUGAGUCCCUGACAAUUUUCCCCCCUUAAGCAAAGCUUGUCCUCAAGCUUGGAAGUCUGGAAAUUGUUUGUCGAUGAAGUCCUUAUCUUCCCACGAUGAUUCUGAUUCGAGCAGCUGAUCCCACUUCACUAGGUACUGAAUGACUACUUGGGAGUUACGCAGGGUAGCUCUGCUUCUCAAGAUCUUCUCAGGUUGGAGUAGACAUUGAUUAGACGAGUCCCAUGCAGGCAAUACAGGGUCAGUGCUUUGAGCACUCCCAAUCCUCUUCUUUAACAGAGAAACAUGAAAUACAGGAUGGAUCCUAGCUCCAGCCGGUAACUGCAACUUGUAGGCCACCGCCCCCAUCUUAGCAAUGAUUUGGAACGGUCCAUAGUACUUUGCUGUGAGUUUUAAGCUCUUCCGAAUAGCCACUGUUUGUUGCCUAUAGGGUUGCAGUUUGAGAAACACCCAAUCCCCCACUUGAAGUGUACGCUCAGUCCUGUGCCUGUCAGCAAAACUUUUCAUGCGACUUUGUGCCUUUGUCAAAUUUUCCUUAAUGAGUGAUAUGACCUUGAGCCUAUCUUGCACCAUUUUAACUGCAGCUGGUAUAACACUGUCAUGGAAGGGUCCCAAAGGAAUGUGGCUGGGCUUGUAUCCAUAUAACGCCUCAAAUGGAGAGAUUUGUAGACUGGUGUGGAAAUUGGUGUUGUACCAAAGCUCCGCUGUAGGUAACCAGUUACUCCAAUGCGAGGGAUGUUCACUGCACAUGCAUCUAAGGUAGUUUUCCAAACAUUGAUUCACUCGCUCACUUUGACCAUCAGAUUGAGGAUGAUAUGAUGAGCUGUAGUGUAAGCCAACCCCCAGCAAUUGAAACAACUCCUGCCAAAAUUUGCUUACAAAAAUCCUGUUCCUAUCAGAAAUUACAGAUUCUGGUAAACCAUGUAGCCUAUACACCUGGUCAAGGAAGACUUGAGCUAUUUGCUGUGCAGAGAAAGGGUGCGUAAGACGUAUGAAGUGACUGAACUUUGUCAAUCGAUCCACCACUACCAAAAUGGUGUCAAAACCAUGAGAUACGGGCAGCUGUUCAAUGAAGUCCAUUGAUAUGUGUGACCAAGCCUGUUGUGGAACUGGGAUAGGUUGCAGAAGCCCAGGAUAGGGAACAUUCUCAUGUUUGCUCCUUUGGCACACAUCACAAGAUCUGACAAAUGUGACAACAUCCUGCUUGAUUCCAGGCCAGUAGAAUAGAGAUUGUAUCCUGCGCAGGCACCCCCUCUGGCCAGAAUGUCCACCCACUGCUGAAUCGUGCAAGGCCUUGAUCACCUUGUUGCGAAUAUUGUUGGCAGCUCCCACAUAUAGUUUGUCCUUAAAUUUAAGCAUUCCUUUAUCCAAUUGGAAGUCUGUGACUGCCUUGGGAUCCAACAGGAGCUGAGCUAUCUUCUGCUGAGCUUCACUAUCUCCUUCAUAGCUUCCCACCAACUCCUGCAUCCACGCUAGUUGCACUGUGGAGAUUGCACACACAGCCUGGCCUGCUGCAAUGUCCUCGUAGGGUCCUUCAAAUCUCCUCCUUGAUAGAGCAUCUGCUACCCCAUUGUCAGCUCCCUUCUUGUACUGGAUUUCAUAAUCCAACCCUAAUAACUUGGUGAGCCAUUUGUGUUGCAGAGGGUGGGUGAGCUUCUGCUCCAGCAAGUGUUUGAGGGCCUAGUGGUCAGUCUUAAUGACAAAAUGGUGACCGACCAAGUAAUGCUUCCAUUUGGUUACAGCUAGUACCAAGGCAAAUAACUCCUUCUCAUACACAGAUAACCCCAAGUUCUGGCUAGAUAAAACUUUGCUGAGGAAUGCGAUAGGGUGACCCUGUUGCAUCAAUACUGCUCCAAUCCCCACUCCACAAGCAUCCGUCUCUAUUGUAAAAGGAAUACCAAAAUCUGGCAUGCUCAGUACUGGGGCUGUGGUCAUGGCUCUCUUGAGGUCUUCAAAAGCCAUCUGAGCAUGGUGGUUCCAUCCAAAGUUCUCCUUCUUCAAUAGCUGAGUCAAAGGUUUGCAAAUCAUGCCAUAUCCCUUUAUAAACCUUCUGUAGUAUCCAGUCAGCCCCAAGAAGCCCCUGAGUUCCUUAACUGAGUUGGGGAUUGGCCAUGACAGGAUACACUCCACCUUUUCUGGAUCCAUGCUAACCCCUACCUCAGAAAUCACAUGCCCCAAGUAUUCCAUAGAUGUCUGAGCAAAAGAACAUUUUGACUUCUUGCAAUAUAACUGAUUAUCAGCUAGGACCUGGAGUACAAUUUUCAGGUGCUGUGCAUGUGACUCUAGAGUGGGACUGUAGACCAGUAUAUUGUCAAAGAAAACUAACACAAACUUCCGCAGGAAUGGCUGAAAGAUUCGGUUCAUCAAGGCCUGAAAUGUGGCUGGGGCAUUUGUGAGGCCAAAAGGCAUCACCAGAAAUUCAAAGUGUCCAUGGUGUGUUUGAAAUGCAGUCUUAUGAGUGUCUGCCAACUUGACUCUCAACUGAUGGUAUCCUGCCCUGAGGUCCAACUUAGACAUAUACUUAGUGCCAUGCAACUCAUCUAACAGUUCAUCAAUGUUGGGAAUGGGAAACCUAUCCUUGACAGUCACUUCAUUUAGUUUUCUGUAAUCUACACAUAAUCUCUAGGUGUUAUCUUUUUUUCUCACCAACAAGACAGGGGAAGCAAAAGGACUGGUACUGUGUUUAACAAUCCCAUUCGUAAGCAUUUCUGCAACCUGUUUCUCAAUUUCUGCUUUAUGUGAGUGAGGGUACAUGUAAGGUUUGAGUUUAAAUGGCUCUGCUCCUAGUUUGAGAAUGAUUUGGUGAUCCAGCUCUCUUUCAGGAGGUAAUCCUGUGAGGGUAGUAAAUAUUUGAGGAAAUUGCUGCAGGACCUGUUCUACCAACUCCGGAAUGCUCCCUUUAAGGUCCUUAGUGGAGUUUGCCUGCAGGUGUGCACAACUCCUCUUUUUCUCCUGGAUGAAAGACCGAAGGUCCCUACCCCUUACAAGCUCCAUUGUAGGCUGAUUGAUGAACCCCUGGAGGUGAAGUAACUCCCCUCCAUUGCUGAGUGCAAUGCUGAGGGUAUGGAAAUCGAAAGUGAUUGGGCUGAACUGGCACAUCCAGUCCACCCCCAGGAUAAUGUCCCAACUCCCCAGCUCCAUUAUUUUCAUGUCGAACUGGAAAUGGUAUUCUUGUAUCCUCCAAGCCACUUUAGGACAUGCUCCCCCACUGGUUAUGUCUGUUCCAUUUGCUAGGGUCACAGUGAAAGGAUUCACAGCUUGAAAGGGUAGCUGCAAUAAGGUAACAAGUCUGUGGUUGAUGAAGCUGUCAGAACUCCCAGUGUCCACUAAGAUUUUAACUGGCAAGCCCCCUAUACUGCCAAUUAACAUAAUCGACUUCCUCUGAAUGGCCCCAGACAAGGCAUUUAAUGUCACUUCCGCCAUCUCUCCAACUCUACCCGUGAGUUCAUCCUGCUUCCCUACUGCAUCCUCAAACUCAGUGUCAUCUCCUUCCUCCACACUUAGGCAGUUCAGGCCUUUUGGCCUACACUGGUGCCCCAACCCAAACUUCUCCCCACAUCGGUAACACAGGUUAUUCUUGCGUCUGUAUUGCAACUCCUCUACUGACAGUCUUCCAACUUCCUUAUGUGCAAUUUCAGUCCUUCUGGUAUUGGGAGUUAUUGCAGGUAGCCUGUAGGAACUCGGCAUGUUUUGUUCGCCAGUUUGACCUUUGUACAUCCCAUACUUAGGCUCCAGAGCAAUCUUGCCAGAGGCUUUGGUCUGCUUACAUUGCAUCUCCAAUGCAUACUCUUGUAAUUCCGCUACUUCAAAUGCCUUGGACAAUGCCUGUGGUUUAAACAUCUUCACCAUAGGUUUAAUCUCCUCUUUCAAUCCACUGAUAAAACUAGAGAUGAAGUAGGAUUCAUCUAGUUUGGGAUUCUUAGUCAGCAUUAAAGUUUUUAAGUCUUCAAAUUUCUCCUCAUAUUCCUCCAUCGUCCCUACUUGCUGUAGUUUGUUAAAUUCCUCCACUAUGUCAAGAGACCCCUUUCCCGAGAACCUCUCACAUAGCAACUCACUAAAUUCCUCCCAAUUCAGUCCAGGAUUCACUAGUUUCACCCCUUGGAACCAGUUGUCAGGUUUGCCUUCUAAGAACAUUUCUACUACGUCCACUCUCUGGCAGGCAGGUAUUUGGUAAUUCAAAAAAUAUUUAUGGCACUUCCUAAGCCAUUCCCUAGGGUUCCCAGCUGAGUACAUUGGCAAUUCUAAUCUAGGCAAAUUAGGAGUGAACAUUCUACCUCUGAACUCCUGCUAAUGUUCGGCCGUGUCUGCCUGAGUCGGCAGCCGGAGGUGCGAGGGCGGUGUGGGCAGAAGAGGUUCACCAGAUCCUCCUUCAUUCUCUUGGACUCCUUUGUCCUUCAACAUCACCUUCAUUAGUGCAUUGAACUUCUGCUCCAACUUGCCGAACUUCUGGUCCAAAUUUCCCACCACUGCCUCCAUUCGCGAGUUACUCUUUUCCAUCUCCUCCUGGAGCUUCUGCCGUGACUCAUUCUGCCCGGAGGUAUGCAGAGCGGCCAUGGAUUCGGCCAGUUCCUGGAGUCUGAUCUCCUGCUUCUUCAUCUGGUCCUCCAGAACUCGGUAUCUUGUGCUUUCCGUCAUGAAAGUUUUUUUUUUAUAUAGCAGCCAAGGAUCGGCUGCUCUGAUACCAACUGUCAGGCUCUGAGCUAGCACCGCCUCAAUGGUGCCUCAAUGGUGGUCGGAUAGUUAGCAGAGGGAAGAGAGAGAAAGGACAUAAGGAGAGAGAAGAGGAUUAACAAAAAGAAAGGAAGAAUUGGAAAUUGAAGUAUUCAGACAAAAUGAUCCUAACUGCCUUGGUUACAAUCACGUGGGGGUAUUUAUGCAAAUAUGCCCCAACCGACUCAAUGAAUACUAACUAACUCUUAGUGAGACGACAACGUUUCUUGGGUUUGUACCCUGUGUAUACCAAACGCUAGUAAUCGUGAAUAAAACGACAAUAGCUAUUAUGCUGAGUCCCUGACAAGGGACUUAAGUCCCUCCUUGGGCUGUUGGUGAGGUUGAACCCUCACCAGUAGCGAAAAAAAUCUAAGGGUUGUGCCAUAGCAUUCCCUUGAUCUAGUUGGAUCUGUAUCCCCACUAGCCCCUAUAACAGCCUCCUUAGGCUCCCCCUCCCCCUAGAUUAGGAUAGAGUAAGUUAUACAAAUGUAUCGUUGCUGACAAAAAAAAAAAAAAACUCCAACUUCCAAUUUGCAGCAGAAGUAUCCAUUUAAAUGCCAGAGUUCAUAAACUGUUACAUAAUCCUAGUAGAUUCAAGCUUCAAUGGUAGACUUUGAAACCAGGAAGUGCCUAACUUCUAUAACAUAUUAGUAUUCUAAUGUCUUUUCCGAUGAGGAGAGGGGAGGGAGGGAACAAACUAAGAAAGUAACUAUGGGCACUGCAUUCCACUCUACCUGUUAAGUGUCAAGAUUUUCAUUUUAAAAAAUCUUGACACCAAGAAGGAUAUCUUUAACGAGUUGUAAUUUUCUCACGACUUCAUUCAUGUGCAUCCGGUCAUUUGGUAAUCUUGCAGAGCACUUUAGUCCAAUUUUCAACAGUGAGACAAGGCAUUCCAUCUGUCUUCCACCAUUAUUUACUUCCUCUCCUACAGCCAUUUCUCUGUUUUCUUCUCCUGUUGCAAUAAGCACUGGAUCCACAAUCUUGGAAAGUUGUUCAGGCAUAGCCAUAUUGACAUAAUUGUACAAAUCCAAGCCAUCAGUAAACAUAUCAUCUGUUGGCCUCCGCUCUGUAAUCAUCUCCAGUAAUAGUAUCCCAUAGCGGGCCAUAGCUAUAGACAUCACCCUGAGUCGAUGCUGCGAGACCCGUUCUGUACUCUGGAAUUUUGUUACAGAAGUUUAAGUUGUGCAGUUCAGUAUUCUAGAAUGAAGAAAAACCUCUAAUGAAAAAUAAACAAAAAUGAACAGUUCUGAUCAAACAUGAUAUAGAAUAGAAAUCUAACUCGCCAAGUAAAAACUAAGGGUCGAACAAAUUGAAAGGCCUCAAUUCUACUUGCAUUGAGCCACAGUAAAAUUACUCAAAUUGCAGUUGAGCUCGUUGAAAUCAUGUCGACUUCUCCUUUAUAUUAACAUUGCAUAAAUCUCACUGAAUUCCUUUUCUGUCUCGUUUUUAAGAGGAUAACUAAGAGCUAAAACAAUCUUGUUCACAGAGAAAACCUUGGCUUUUAAGACAAAAACUUAAGAGGAUAUCAUUGUAAUUGAUUUAACUCAGAAAAGAAAACAAGAAAACUAUGACUUAUCCUAAAUAUUUGAGGUCUUCUAACUCAUUCUACCAUGUGAAGUGCCAAUUUUAUUUCACCAACCGUCUUUGGUUGUUGACAUUCUAACACGUAUUCAGCAUCUUGAUUGUGUAUGAACAACCCAUCCCUCUUUGUGUUUGACAAAUUAACAGUCAUACAUUGUAAAAUCUACUCAAGUUUGAAGUUCUGUUGCUGAAGUUAGGGAGUAGUUAGAUAACGGAAUAUUUCAAUAAAUAUAAUACCUGGAGCAGCAUAUCCGAUAGAUCCUUUUAAUAAAACAAAACUGCUAGUUCCUUCCUCCACAAAAGUAAUAGCAGUUCUUGGAAGAAGCCUUGCUAAUCCGAAAUCGCCCACAUGAGCAACAAGAUCAUUGUCAACAAGAAUGUUACUUGGUUUUAGAUCACAAUGAACAACAGUUGUUUCACUUUGGUUGUGAAGAUAGUGCAAUGCUGAAGCAACAUCAGUUGCAAUAUUUAGCCUCUGAGAAAGAUCAAGACUCCUUAGUCUUGUUGUUUGAUCAGCUUUCUCUGGAUGCUGCCACAAGUCAAGAUCUCCAUUUUCCAUAAACUCAUAGAUGAGAGCCUUGAAUUCGUGGCCCUUGGAAUCGAUGCUGGAGCAAUAACUUAAGACAGAUACUAGAUUUCUAUGGCGGAUGUUUCUUAAUGCUUUGCACUCAGCCUUGAAGCUUUUGGAACUCCCAAUUUUCUGAAGGUCAAGAACUUUAAUUGCAACAAGCAUACCUCCAUGUUUAUCAAGUCUGCCAUUGCAAACAACACCAAAACUUCAGGAGCCAAUUAAGUUUUCUGGAGAAAAUCCAGAAGUGGCAUGACGGAGUUCUUCAUAAGAAACUCUUAAGAGCUUAUCAGCCAUUGUGACCAUUCUUUUGUUUCUUUUCCCGUAUACCACAGAACAGAACAACAAUGUAGCAAGAACAAUACACGUGAAAGCUGGUAUUAAAAAGUGUCAGCUCAGUAAUGAAGAACUUAUACGAUCCAUGACAAUGAACUUAUAAACAAGUCCAGAGACGAAAUAGGUUUAUGAAUAUCUAUUGUGAUCUUCUGCAUUAUGGGAAGGCACAAUUAGAAGUUAAAUUCCUAAUGUUUUGCAUUAUGGACUAAUUAAUUUUCACCUCCACUUCAUUAACCAAAAAAUUAUAAUCAAAUUAAAAGUUGUCUUCAGCCAAUCUAUCAUUGAUACUUUGUUGAGCCGAAGUAAGUGCAUCUCUGUAAAAUUUUAUCGAAGCGGAUAGUUGCGAUUUUUUUUUAAAAAAAAAGAAAAGGAAUUUCGCGAAUUAUGCACAUUCCAAUGGGAUUAAUCUGAAAUGCCGGUUUAAAGGUCUUCUUACCAAGUCAAAAAAGAUGUACUGUGCAAUGUCUUAAAUCUUAAUGACUACGGGCCAUUAUUUAGACCUGCUUGUACAAGAAGUGAACUCCGUAGUCAUCUUCCAGAGAUGAUUGACAGGAACCCUUCUUUUGUGUGCAAUACUUGAUCUUCCCAAUUAAUACAAACCACAAGAAUGGUGAUAUGCUAGAAUCUGUCGGUUGGCUUAUGCGAGUUCUGUUCAAACCAUGGUACUGGAAGAAGGGAAAAUGGUUAUUGGUUCUUCACAUAUCGCCAAUUAAAAAAAAUGGAUUUUAUGGAGGGGUGGCAAUUUCCGACACGAUUUGAAAACACGACAACAACCUAACACGAAAUUAAUGAGUUUGGGUUAAGACUUUGUAGGUUCGGGUCAGAAUCGAGUCGAACUCAAUGAAUUAGAAAAGAAAAUAGGUCGAAUUCGGGCCAAGCGAACUCCGUACUCAUUCUGCUGUUUUAAUGUUGAUGUACCGGACCUGCUUGUACAAGAAGCAAACUCCGUAGUCGUUCUGCUGUUUAAUGUGAUCAUCUACCAGAGAUGAUGAUUAACAGGAAGCCUUCUUUUGUGUGCAAUACUUGGAUCUUCCCAAUUAACUCAGAACACAAGAAUGUUGAUAUGCUAGAAUCUGUCGGUUGGCUUAGGUGAGUUCUGUUCAAACCAUGGUAUAGGUAGUUGGGUUGGGGUGGACAAUAGCCCACAAUAUGACUAUUAUAAACCUUGACACAACAAACUUGGAAGAAGGGAAAAUAGUUAUUGGUUCUUUACGUAUCACCAUCUAUCAAUUUGAAAAAUGACUUAUACGCCUAUUAAAAAAAUGGGUUUUACGAAUGAUGACAGACAUGAAUUUGGAAAUCAGAUCAUAAAUCCAACAUGUUUCUUUACGAAUGGGUUAAUUUUUUUUUUUUCCAAGAAGUCCAUCUUGAGAUGGUAGAGAUUUUGCAUAUAAUCCUUCCAGUUUGUUGAGAAAUAAAUGAAAUUAAAAUGAUUGAGCAAACGUAAACGCCUAAUUUUCCAAAUUACAUUUCAAUCUUCUCCGUGACAAGGGGCUUUGGCUUAGCAACGAGACCAAGUGCUGAAUCACUUGUUCAAGCUACUAUUUCUUCUGCCUAUGCAUUUACUUCUCUAUUUAUGUUUUUUUUUUUUGUUCAUUUUUUACUUUUUCCUUUUAAUUGAACAAUAAAGUCCAUGAAGCCAGUUAAAACUUGGAAUUAAUAACAAAGUUCUUUUCAUUUUCAUUUUUUUGUUCAUCAAUAAAGAGAGGGUCAGUUUGUAGUCAAAAUCCGACUGUUUUAAAUCUUGAAACAUGCAUUAAUUAUCCACUAAAUCAUAAGCUCAUUCUCAUUUAGCAAACAACUCCGCAUUCUGCUGUAAAUUCAAGGUAGAAAUUCUUUCCAAUUAUCACAGUGCAGAGGCCCCGUCCUGGGCUUGUACACGUGGCAGCCCAGGGUCGAUCCGAGAUGGGCUUGCGCCCCGGGCCCAUGGGGAACCAGCCCAGGGCACACGGCGACUAGGGCUCCGGGAGGCUCCCGAGAGCUACCCCGCAGAGGGCGGGGAGAAUCCCCCUCAGCGCGGGAUUGGGAGCCAUCCAAGGCAAGUCCAGGAACGUACGGAGGUCGGACUCCUAAACGGGUAUAAAUGGUAACACAUACCAACUGUACAAGGUACGCUCACUAUUGGCAAUUCACUCCCGACUGCUUUUUUGUUAGUACACCCCCCACUCACCGGAAAACUAACUUGACCGUCGGAGUGCCCUCGGGGACAACCUUAGGGCCCCUGCCAGUUUACUUUCCUGUCUAUCUUUCAGGCCUUGGACGCGCUCUUUCCGCCAUCAAGCCGAGCUCAUCAGGUCAGCUCGGUCCGGGGAAGUUCCGUACUUCUUCAGUUGGCGCCGUUUGUGGGAACGAAGGUACGAGUGUUUGUGUUGAUGGCGAGAACGCGUUCCAAGCGAACCGUGGAUAACACUGAUCCCGAAACCGGCGAGGGGUCCCGGCGAAUGGAGACCGAGGCGGCCCGAGGCGCCGGGGGCUCGGCCCUUUCAGGGGAACGGAGGCAGCAGAUUUAUCAGUUUGUAACCGAGAAUCUCCCCAUGCUGGAAGACAUAAUCCGGCAGGCGAAGGAGGUGGUGAAGCCGGCGGUGCGCAGACCUCUAAGGCGAAGGGGAAGGAGAGGGACGCGAUUCCCUCGGAGAACGAGUCCCGGGACCAGCCCCCUAGGAGGAAAUGACAGCGGACUCCUCCCAGACCGCGUGCCUCGGUGGUCGGGGACAGUGAGAGAUAUUCUCGCGACCGGUCCGCUGGGGGUCAACUGAGGAAUCCCUCAUCGUAGAAACUUGCGCGGAACGAGGCGGAGCGCUCCCCCGCCCGGUCUAUCAAGAGCCGGCCGCGGGACCCUCCCCAAUGGCAGCCCGUCCGAGACGAGCUCGAGCAGAUCCUGCGACCACAACUGUACGAGUACAACUAUGCAGCCUCGCUCUUCACCCGAAAGAUAGAGGACUACCCGUUAUCUCGGAGGUUUAAAAUCCCGAACAUCGAGCUGUACGAUGGCUCGACUGACCCGGAAAACCACCUCUCGGUCUUCCUGACGCACAUGCGUCUACAAACCGCCGCGGAUGCACUCCGUUGCAAGACCUUCCCCAUGUUUCUGAAGGGUAAGACCCGACUCUGGUUCCAGGGCCUAGCACCGGGGUCUAUCCGGAGUUUCACCGAGCUGGCCAGACAGUUCGCCGCCCAGUUCGUCUCCUCGAAAAUCUACUCGAAAAAUGCGGCUCACCUGAUGGCCAUCAAGCAGAAGCCGAACGAAUCCCUGAAGAAUUUCAUGACGCGCUUCAACACAGAAAACCUGCAGAUCAGGGACAAGGAUGAAAAGGUGGUCAUGGCUGCCUUUAUGAACGGGUUAAGGGUAGAGGAGCUCUACUACAAACUUGUCGAACAUCCCCCCAAGAAUCUGGGAGAGCUCUUGACCCGGGCUCACGCCGUCGCCAACGCAGAGGAGGCCGGCCGCCUGAAACGAGAGUUAGAUCGGAAACUCGGGGACCGGAGAGGACGGGGAAACCCCUCCGAGAGUAAGGAUGCCCCGGCCAAGAAGAAUGUGUUUGAUCGGCUCUCGAAGGAAAAAGCCCCUGCUCCGCCACCGAUCCCGGAGAAAGGCUAUACCUCCCUAACUCGACCCAGGGCCCAGAUCCUGGCUGUCAUGGAGGCAGAGGGCCUGGGAGACCGGCCGCCUAAAAUGGGCACACCUCGGAAUAAGAGGAACCAGGAUCGGUACUGUGCCUUCCACAGGGACGUCGGGCAUGAUACUGAGGGGUGCUGGGCCCUAAAGAGGGAAAUCGAAGACCUUGUCCAACGCGGUUUCCUGGGGCGAUUUGUGCGGCAAGGUCAACCGGGCCAGGAGCGCGGACGUGCCUACCGCGAAGAGAGGGACGAAGGUUACCGCCGAGACCGCCCUGAGCGGUGUGACGCGGCCCGAGGCUACUCCCCCGACCAGGGCACUCAGAACCUGGCAGGGGUCAUAAACACCAUAACUGGGGGUCCCACGGGAGGAGACAGCCAUACAGCCCGGAAGAACAGGCGGCCUCCCCCUGACGGAGAUGAUUCAUUGAAGCGUCUGCGUAUGGAUGAGGAGAUCACCUUCGGACCGAGGGACGCGGUUCCCUUGGCAGCCGGAAAUCAUGAGGCUAUCGUAAUAGACGUCGUCACCAAUAAUUACCGGGUGAAGAAAGUGUACGUCGAUCAGGGAAGUGCAGUGGACAUCCUGUUCUACAGGGUGUUCAAGGAGCUCGGCCUGGAGGACGGACAGCUAACCCCUGUUUGGACACCUCUGGUAGGCUUUACCGGACCGCCCAUCAAUCCGGAAGGGAUGAUUACCCUGAUGGUCACGGUAGGCCAGGCGCCCAGAUGCCGGACCAUCCCUGUCAAUUUCGUGGUGGUUAAGUAGCCAUCCCCUUACAACAUAUUCCUAGGUCGGCCCGCUUUGAAUGCCCUCCGGGCGAUUCCCUCCACGCUCCACCUCAGCGUCAAAUUCCCCACCCCGGGGGAGUUGCCGAGGUACAUGGAGAUCCGGAGGUGGCCCGAGCUUGUUACCUCGUCAUGCUCCGGGGACACGAGAAGGUGGUCGCUCAGGCGACCAGCUUGGAGCCUUACAUCCCGGGGGAGGAGGACCGGCAGCUGAGCACUCAGGAUGAGAUCGAGGAGUUUCCACUGAGGGAGAACAGGCUUGACCAGAUAAUCCGUAUUGGUGCGUCGCUACCGCCCAGAGAAAAGGAUGACCUGAAGGCCCUCCUAAGGGAGUACGUCCAGGUUUUCGCUUGGACGGUAGAGGACAUGCCUGGGAUCCCGACCGACCUGGCCGUCCACCACCUCAACAUAGACCCCCGCUUUAAGCCGGUGAAGCAGAAGAAGAGGAACUUCGCCCCGGAGAGAAAUGAGGUGAUCAGAAAGGAGGUCGGAAAGCUGCUGGAAUCCAAAAUCAUCAUGGAGGUCUACUACCCGACCUGGCUAGCCAACCCUGUUCUGGUCAAGAAGAAGGAUCAGUCCUGGAGGAUGUGCGUUGACUUUACAGAUCUCAACAAAGCCUGCCCGAAGGACUGCUUCCCCUUGCCAAGGAUCGACAGGUUAGUAGAUGCUGCUGUUGGUUUUGAUGUUUUGUAUUUCCUGGAUGCUUUUAAGGGAUACCACCAGAUAGAGAUGGCCGAGGAGGAUCGGGAAAAAACAUCGUUCAUCACUGAGGAAGGAACUUACUGUUACCGAAUGAUGCCAUUCGGGCUAAAGAACGCCGGAGCUACUUACCAGCGCUUGGUCAAUAAAUUAUUCCAGAACCAGAUCGGUAGGAACAUGGAGGUCUAUGUGGACGACAUGAUCGUCAAGAGCAGAGCAGGACCACAGCUCGUCCCCGACCUGAGGGAGAUCUUGAGCAUCCUCUGGGAGAGUCGGAUGCGGUUGAACCCGAAGAAGUGCACCUUCGGAGUUAGGUAGGGCCGGUUCCUUGGUUUCUUGGUCUCUCGAGAAGGGAUCCGGGCCAACCCCGAAAAACUCCAGGCCAUUAUGGACAUGGCCCCUCCCCGGAAUGUGAAGGAGGUCCAGCAACUCACGGGAAGGAUGGCCGCCCUGAAUAGGUUCCUCUCACGGUCCACGGUGAGGGGGCUCCCCUUCUUCCGGAUCCUGAAAGCGCCCAAGGACUUUCAUUGGACCGAGGAGUGCCAGAAGGCUUUCACUGAUCUGAAGGCGUAUUUGGCCGAGUUGCCCACCCUGACCGUCCCGGAGUAGGGGGAAACCUUGUUCCUGUACUUGUCCGCUUGCAGCGAGGCCGUCAGCGCGGUUUUGGUGCGCGAAGACAGGGGUCUCAAAGGCCAAUAUACUAUGUUAGCCGCGCCUUACAAGAUCCGGAAACGCGAUAUACGCCAGCAGAGAAAACUGGUCCUCGCCCUGGUACAUGCUGCCCGGAAGCUCCGACCUUACUUCCUGGCCCACAGCAUUGUGGUCAUGACCGAUCAGCCUUUGCGACAGAUUCUCACAAAACCUGAGAUCUCGGGGAGGAUGACUAAGUGGGCCGUCGAGCUCGCCGAGCACGACAUCGGCUACCAGCCCCGCACCGCCAUCAAAGCUCAGGCCCUAGCAAACUUCCUCGCCGAAGGAGCCAGUCUGUCCACAACUGAGCCGUGCGCCCUGGCAGAGGAGGCCAGGCCGGAAGAGCCUUGGGUACUGUUCGUAGACGGGGCCUCCAGCAAGGAAGGAAGCGGAGCAGGCCUGCUACUCACCUUGCCCACAGGGGAAGAGCUGACCUACGCACUUAGAUUCGACUUCCCGACAUCCAAUAACGAGGCUGAGUACGAAACCCUACUGAUAGGAUUGCGGAUAGCCCACCAGAUGGGUGUGACUGCGAUCAGGGUCCGGAGCGACUCUCAGCUCGUCGUCUACCAAGUUCGCGGGGAAUACGAGGCCAAGGAGGAGGUCAUGAAGAAGUAUCUGGCCAAGGUGCAGGAGGCGACAGCCCUGUUUGACACAUUUGAAAUCGAGCGGGUGCCUAGAUCGCAGAACAAGCGUGCAGACGCCCUGUCGAAGCUGGCAUCCUCCUCGUUUGCGCACCUGAAUAAGGAAGUUUUUGUAGAGGUGGUAAAGCAGAAAAGUAUCGACCAGGUCCAGGUCCUGGCAAUAGACAGCUCGACCACCUGGAUGACCCCUCUUGUAAACUUUCUCAGCUCGGGUGCCCUCCCUGAGAACAAAACCGAGACUCGCCGGAUCCAGCUCAAAGCUGCCAAGUACGCCUACGCCGGGGGAACCCUCUACAGGAGAUCAUACUUAUCUCCCUGGCUAAAGUGAGUGACUCCCGAGGAGGGUGACUACGUCCUUCGCGAAAUCCACGAAGAGAUAUGUGCGGCACAUGUGGGGUCCCGGGUAUUGGCCAAAAAGUGCCUUCUUUUGGGCUACUAUUGGCCCUCCGUCUUCCGAGAUGCCGUAGAACUGGUACAGAAAUGCCGAGUUUGCCAGGUGCACGCCCCACUGCGCCACCACCCAGCUAGGGAAAUGAUCCCCAUCGACUGUCCCUGGCCCUCCGCUCAAUGGGGGAUAGACCUUCUGGGUCCUUUCCCCGGAGCCCCGGGUCGAUAUGAGCACCUCGUGGUGGCCAUCGACUAUUUCACAAAGUGGAUGGAAGCCGAACCCCUGACCAUUAUCUCCGGUAGAGCAAUUCAGAAGUUCUUCUGAAAAAACAUAGUCUGCCGCUUCGGGAUCCCGCAUGUUUUGAUAUCCGACAACGGGCGACAGUUUGCUGAAAAUCCCUUCAAAAACUGGUGCGCUGAGCUAGGGAUUAACCAGCACUUCACCUCGGUUGGACACACCCAGGCCAACGGUCAGGUAGAGAAUGUUAACCGAACAAUUCUGCAGGGGUUAAAGACUAGGUUGGAGCUAGCCCAGUCUAAUUGGCUAGAAGAACUACCUAGCGUCCUCUGGGCUUACCGCACCACGCCCAGGACGACCACCCACGAGACCCCGUUCUCUUUGACCUACGGAGUAGAGGUGGUGGUACCCGCGGAGAUUGGUCUCCCCUCGCCCCGGACACAGAAUUUCGUUGCGACAACCAACGAGGAAGAGCUGAGGUACAACUUGGACACGCUGGAGGCUAAGCGUGAGGAGGCGGCUGUACGGAUGGCUAAGUACAAGAGUCAGCUCGCCCGCUAUCAUAACGCCAAAGUGAGGACCAUACAGUACCAGCCAGGGGACCUUGUCCUAAGGAAGAACUUGGUCAGCCGGGCACAUGGCUCCAAUAAGCUCGACCCCAACUGGGAAGGCCCAUAUCUGGUCCUAGAAGCAAGCCGCGCUGGCUACUGCAAGCUCGCGAAAAUAGAUGGAUCAGAGGUACCCCGCACUUGGCACUUCUCCAAUCUACGACUGUUUGUAGCGUAGGAUUAGACCAGGGUAUUCGGUUGUCUGUUCUUUGGAAUUCGAAUUUCAGUUUCAUCAUUCAAUAAAAGCUCGACUGCCAAGUUGUGAUUUUAUUUGUACUUGUUUGCUUUUUUGAGUUUGAAUCUUACACUAGCACACUUAGCGUUCCCUCCCUAAAUGUCCUAGUGGGGGGUUAGGGGUUAGUGAUGGAUGCGGGAGUGCUCGGCCCCAGGAGGUCGGUACUACUGGAAAACUUUGAAAGAUUCUGAAAAUUCCACGCUCGACCCAGAAGGUCGGCGGGCGCCAUUGCGAGGUGCGGGUCGGCACUUCUGAAAAUUUGUAAGGUGCGAUGCUCGACCCCGAGAGGUCGGCACUGAUUAAAACUUCCAGGUGAAUGAUCGACCCCAAGAGGUCGGCAAGGGUUAAAGCUGGGGAGUCUGAGAGCACGACGCUCGGCAACGAGAGGUCAGCAUAGAGCGGACUAUGUUUGGUCUGAUGGGAUUCAAGGUUCGACGCUCGACCCAGGAGGCCGGCACGAACACCUUCAAGGUCGGACGCUCGACCCAGGAGGUCGGCGGGAAAAAUCCUUAAGGAUUUGGUGCUCAGCCCCAAGAGGCUGGCACGUUGCCCUGGUAGGACGGCGUGGUGCUCGACCCGGGAGGUUGGCACAGGUUUUCGACAAUCUGGUUCGCUCUAAUGAUUUAGUUGUUAGGUUAACGGGGGUAUGCAUUUGGUGCUCGACCCAGGAGGUCGGCACCUGGCUUUGGUUGUUGCAGUGGGGUGCAGGAAAGAAUUGCAAGGAAGUAUCCUUCGAAUUUCGUAUAUGCAUUCAAAGCCUAUCUAUUACAAAACUUCCAGCCUAUCUAUUACAAAGCCUACCGAGCUAUACAAGGAAAGGGGGACCUAACUACGCCUUCUUCUUGCGGGCGACCUGCUGGAGGUAGGAGUUGAAGGUACACCUUAAGCAUGUUGAGAGGUAGGAGCUGAAGGCGCACCUUAAGCCUGUUGGGGGGUCGGGUGGAGAAGGCUAUUAAAAAGGACCUGGGGAGCCUUUCCGUCUCAGAUGGACCUUCAAGAGCAUUUUCAACUGGAACAUGAUCACAUCCUUAUAAGGAGACGGAAAGGGUUUCUGGAGUGGCCGCUGCCCUAGGCCACAGGCUUCUUCCCGGAAGCCCUGCCAGGAGUCUCCUCCUCCUCCAGGGGAAGUUCCGCCAGCUCGGCCCCCACGUCGCUCCUUCCCAUCAGAUCUUUCAGGGCAUGCCCUUUGCGGUACCCAUCGAAAAGCCAGUCCAGCUUCUCCUCGGCCGCAGGAUUGUAGUCCUUGAAAUCCGUCCAGUUGAAUCCGGGUGGGUUGAGGCCCUUCACCUUGUCCAGGGUCCGCGUGGCGCCGAUCUGGAAGAUGGGCUGGUUGAGGCAGGCCACGUCCUCGGCGAACUGGUCGGAGGAGAUGAAGUCCCAGACAGCCUUCUUGCGCUCCCGGCUGACGGUGCCAGAGAGCUCAAUGGCGUGCCCCUCCUUCGGCUUCGCCACGCCCUUCUUCUCUUGGUCCAGCUCGGACCGUGUGGAGGCGAGCUGGACCUGGGAGUCCUCCAGUUCCUUCUCAACCUUGCCCAACUUGGUCUUAAGGGAGUCUACCUCCUUAAGGGCCUUGACCAGCUUCUGCUCGGCCUCCCGAUUCUUCUUUUGCAUAUUCUCCAAGCCGGGAGACAGUUCGGAGAAGCGGGUCACCAGGGCAGCACCAGCGGCGUUGGCCUGGAGAGACGAGAGUAAGAGUUAGUAUAUUGCUAGCCCCAUUCGGAGAAAAGAAACAGGGACCCAAGGGGUCUAAAAGGGAAAGGGCUUACUUGGGUUUGGGCGGUGUAGUACAUGUCUUGGAGCUCGGACGGGUUGGCCAGCUCCAUCCACUUCUUGUCGCGUGGAAGGACUGAGCCCGUGACCAGCUCGCGAGCCACCUCGGGGAAGUGGGCUCGGUCAUUGAUGGAGAGCUCCUAGGACGGGCAGAAGCGCCGGGGAUCGUGCAUCGUGGGGGCCUGCCCCCGUUUCGUGGGGGCCACGUGGCGGAAAUGCCACAAGCUCGGGGGGGCGCUCUCUUGGGCGUGCUCCUCCGUGGAGCCUACCCCCAGGUGGACAGGGCCCCCAGACGUCAGCUGGAGAGGGCGCUAUGCUGGGCACUGCGCAGGUUUCUUCGCAGGCUGGGAAGGCUCGUCAUCUCGCCCCCUCUUCUGCUCCGUGACCUUCUUUUUGCCGGGGGCCUGCUUGGAGGGGGACUGAGCUUGAGAGGCCUCCUUCUGGGGGGUCGAACCGCCCCCAGGGGUCGCAGAGGCCUCAGGGGCCUUCUUCGCCGCCUCAAGCUGGGUGGUGGAGGCGACCUCCUCGGUUGACACACCCAAUAGCCUGAAGAGCUUCUUCACUGCGAGAGAACACUAACGGAUUAGUAAGGAAAAAAAAGACAGCAGAUAACAAGGGAAUAGGAGCAGUAUUACAGGUAUCUCGGUUGGCGGGGGAGAACUCCACCCCUCCGGGGGACCCAGACAGUUUCCCCAACAGUCCGGCUGCGGAAAUCUGCUCAGUGGAGAACUUGGCUGCGUACAGCUUCGCCGCAGAGCCCAGCAGCUGGUCGAAGGCCGCAGGGUCCAGGUCCUCCGGGCAGGGGUCGUCCCCGACCCCCCCAACCUUCCACGCAUUGGGAGGAAAUUGUGUGAUUUUAAUGAAGAAUAAGUCACCCUUCCAGUUCUUCACGGAAGAGAGGACCCCGUAGAGGAGAUUCUGGGCGCCCUUCCCGCCGCGAUUGCUGGUGGAGCGGCGGCAGAAGUAGUACCACCCAGGGAGAGAAGCCUUGAGGGCGUAGGUGGCACGGAAGAGAGAGAGAGAAUAGGGGAUGGAGCAGAUCUGGCAGUAGAUCAGGAAUCUGAUGAUGAUCCUGAUCAAGUUAGGAUGGACUUGGGUGAUCCUGAGCCCCCAGAAACUCAGGAUCUCGGCCAGAGCCGGAGGAAUGGGGAGUCGUAGCCCCGCGACCAGUUGCUCUUUGUAAAUGGUUACAAAGCCUGGGGGAGGUCGGCAAACCCGGUCGGUCGGCCCGGCAACUCGCGGCUCGAAGGCCGGAGGAAUAGAGAAUGACACGGCCAGCUCGGCCACCGCCCCGGGCAAGAGUGUGGUCUCCUCCCGGUCGGGGUAGCCGUAGUUGAACUCAGGGUCAUCCUCUGAGGAGUCCCUGUCCUCCCCAGCUCCCCCCUGGGCUCUGCCAGGGGAGUCAUGUGGGGACUUGGGGGAUGGAACAGAGGUGGCUUGCUGCUGGAUGUAGGCAUCAAGCUCGGCCGCCUCCUCCAGGAGUCGGGCGGAAGGAGAAUGGGCAGAGGGAGAGCUCAUGAUAUCAAUGGAUUCAAGCAAGUCAGGCGCGAGAAAAUUGGGAUUGGAAGCAGAGGAUGAAGAAGGAGGAGGGGGAGAUGAUGAAGAUGAAGAUGAAGACGAGGACGAAGAGGAGAUGAAGAUUCUGGUGGCUCUACGACGGACCGGAGUUUGGGAUGCGGUGGAAGUGACGUCGGAGUGACCCGACAUAAAAUGCAGAAAAGGGGAAGGAGGGGACGAAAAGCGAAGAGAAAAAAGGUAAAGGACUUACUAGUGGACAAUGAAUGUGUUGGAGUUGAAGUAGUGAACAGGGUCGCCGGAAUCUGGGUGCUGUUGGCCGGAAAUGCGCUACUGGGAAUUGGAGAUGCACGAGGAAAGGAGAAAAUGGCAAAUAGAGUUAACCGGAAUUUAGCAGCCCCUAUUUAUAGGGAACGAAAUGGGGGGGAAACGGUUUGCUUGAAUUUGAACCGCCCCAUGUGAACACAUUUAAUAGAGGUACGGAGACCGAAGGGACGCGACAACUGAAAGGACGCGGACGCCACUUCCCAAUGUCAGCACUGCACCGGAGGCGACCGCGGCAGAGCAGUGUGAUGAUGGGCUUCCACGUGGCAAGGGGAUAAAUCAGGUCUGCCUGGGAGCCAGACCUAAUCUAGGGGGCUAGUGCAGAGGCCCCGUCCUGGGCCUGUACACGUAGCAGCCCAGGGUCGAUGCGAGUUGGGCUUGCGCCCCGGGCUGGUUCGGCUUGCGCCCCGGGCCCAUGGGGAACCAGCCCAGGGCGCACGGCGACUAGGGCUCCGGGAGGCUUUCGAGAGCUACCCCGCAGAGGGCGGGGAGAAUCCCCCUCAGCGCGGGAUUGGGAGCCAUCCAGGGCAAGUCCCGGAACGUACGGAGGUCGGACUCCUAAACGGGUAUAAAUGGUAACACAUACCAACUGUACAAGGUACGCUCACUAUUGGCAAUUCACUCCCGACUGCUUUCCUGUUAGUACACCCCCCCACUCACCGGAAAACUAACUUGACCGUCGGAGUGCCCUCGGGGACAACCUUAGGACCCCUGCCAGUUUACUUUCCUGUCUAUCUUUCAGGCCUUGGACGCGCUUUUUCCGCCAUCAAGCCGAGCUCAUCAGGUCAGCUCGGUCCGGGGAAGUUCCGUGCUUCUUCACACAGCUAGACAGGUUUUUCUUUCGAAUUUUGAUGUAUUUUUUUUAAAGGUUAUGACCCUUUUCCCCGAUGAUGAUGAUGAUGAUGAUGAUGGUAAUAACCCUGCAAUGAAGCCAAACAUAGUAGUACUUCGUCACAAGUUCUUCAUAUGUUUGUAUUGUGGAGCAGCUGUAAAUCACAAGAUUAUCAGCCCAAUACCUUUUGACAAUUAAUUUUUUAAAUCGAGCCCAAUAAAAAAGCAUGCCAUGACUGUAGAAAUCCCCUCGAGUUGAUGCCUCCAGCUCCAAUCCAUACUCUGAAAAUCGGGAUAUUAAUAUCACCCGGUACCCCUAAAUUUUUUGAAAUAUCACUUACCUCUUACCUCUUCUGAUAAUUGUAAAAAGACUCUAUAAAUGCUCAUUUGACACAUAAUUCAUAUAUCAAAUAAAUAGAAUUCAAAAAUUUUUAAAAAAAAAGAAAUGAAAGUCACUUUCUACUCUUUCCCUUUUCUCCAUCAUUCUCUCUUACUUGUUUUUUGGAUGACUAUGCAAUAUUUUAUUUGUAAAUUAUAAUAAAUUAAAUUUUGUUUAUAUUUUAUUUUUUGUGAUUAUGAUAAAGUGGGGUAUGAUUUAUUUGCUUAUUUUGAAUUAAUUUUUAUAAUGAUUGGUACAAUUUAAUAGUUUGGGCAAAGGUUGAGAAGAUGUUGAAAAAAAAAUGUAAAGUUCAUAAGAAAUCGGUUUUAAGCAUAUAGAGUAAAAUUGGUGCAAGUGUAUUUCUUUUCAAAUAUCUUUUUUAUUUUUUAAAUUUAUAUUUUUUGUAGGGUAUUGCAUUAUAAUAUGGUAGUACUACAACAGAUUGUUUUGUAGAUGAUGGUUUUCUUGAAGUGAACAAAGUGGUUUAGAAAUAUUUUUAUUUAGCAAGUGAAAGGGUAGUUUAGGGCUUUUAAAAAUUUUGUUACACAAAUAACAAAAGUAAGGGAGAUAAGUGAUAUUUUUAAAACUUUAGAGGUGUCAGAUGAUAUUAAGAGAAACCUCAUGGGAGUUUUCUGAUAUUAGCCUCUGAAAAUAUUGAUUCUGAUCAGCAGCAUCAUGGCAAUGGAAAAAGAAUUUGUGGCGCUUGUAAUUGAUGAUUUACACCGUCUAUGAGCCACCCAAUUCCAUUUUAGUUUUCACUUCUAAUAGACUAAAUUACACUUUUUUCUAUGAUGAAAACAUUGAAAAAAUUUCAUGAAAAAGUUAAUUAUGCAGAUAUAGCUGGAAAGAUAAUUAUGACGACCGUGACUCCAAUUUGUGCAGAUUUUCAAGAUUGCCCUAAUUUUCAAUCAUAAGUGGGGAAAAAGCGUUGCAUUUGCCUCCAUGAAUUAUGACCGUGUCCCUAAAGAGCUUUAUUGGCAAUUUACCCUGACUAUUUUAAUUAUUUUUGUAUUUUUUUUCUUUCCUUAUAAUCUUUAAUUUCUUUUCUCUCUCUUAAUUUUUUGUUUUAAUUUUUUUUUGUUUUUUCUGCGUUCCCCCAUUAUAUGAAGUCUAUUCUGUCACUAGUAGUAAUUGGUUAAUCACAAGCUCUAAAUUUUAUAUUUAUAUUUAAAUAUAUUUAAUAUCUAGUAAACUUUACAGUACAAUAACAUUUACGCUGAUUGUGUUACAAAGCAUAUAUUAUUCAAGAAUUAAAUUAUAUAAGCACAAGUACAUAAGCUAAUGUUUUUGAUUGAGCAAAUAACUAACAACAAUAUAUCACUUUGUAGUGUCAAGACAAAAUGGUAAAAACUAAUCCAAACAAUAAAAAACGAAAAAGCAAGAGAAAAAAGGCACAAAAGAAAAUAUGAAAAAUGAAGAUAAGUAAAAUAUCAAGGUUAGUUCCUCCUUAAACAUGAAUUUAGAGGUAAGUUGAGUAAAUAAAUCUUUAGGUGCAACCAUAAUCAUAAUUAACGAUGAUAAACUACAAUUGAUAAACUUAAAGAAUUGUUAGGGGACAAAGUGACUUUGGGACCAAAUUGUUAGGGGGCCUUAAUGCAAUUAAUCCUAUUGUUUACCCACUUUUUUUUUUGUUGUAGAACACAGGAAACCAAUCAGAGUGUUGGCCUUCAUGACUUGGUAGCAGGCAGAUUACUUGAUAUGCUCUAAGUCUUCACAAACACAGGAAACUGAGCUGGAGUCACUCUAAUACUUCAUUAUCUUUGUCAAUUUACACAAAUAAUUUAUCUGAGAUUGGAGAAAAUGUAUUUUAUUAUCUUGACCUAAAAUACAAAAGUACUGGCUUUGACUUACUUAUUUUUAUUUUUAUUUUUUCCCCCUCAUCUUCUUUUUUUUUUUUUUUCUUUUAGUACAAGUAGAAGGAUUCAAUGUUUGAUUUUCUACUGAUCAGCCAUUUAAUAGUAUAGAAAUAAAGGCUUUGGCUUUUGACAUUUGUAGGAGCUUCUAUUCUCCUUUCUGGCGCACUCCAUUUGUAAGAGUUAAAGCUACUCAGCUCUUUAGUUGAUAUUUCAUGCACUCGAGUUGAUAUUUUUGUGGUUAACCAUUUCGCAUGUACGUAAUUUUCUGAGUCCGUUUACUGACUACUUUUCUACUUAAAUCAUAGAAAAAGAUGUCUUAACAAAAAUAGCAUCAUCUAAAUAUACCACAAAUUUAUUUACAACUUACAAUCAUUUGCUAAGUUAUGCAUGAAUGGUUGUUGUGUGGCAUUCUAUGAAGUCUUAGAAUCUCGCCUUCGCUCUCCAUUAGUUUGAGCUCGAAUCUAGUAGAUAAAUAAAUGUGAAAUGCGAGAGUUUUUCCUCACACACAGAAUUUUUCUUGUGAGAGUGAGAAUUUUCUCUGUUUUUAAACUUUGUUUUGAAAUUUUUAAUUGGUAUGCACAGAUCUUGUAAUCAUAGAAAUGGAUUGUAUUAUCGAAAAUUUUAGAGUUUUACGGUGUUAUCCUCUAUUAUUAUUUUUUUAGAAUUGAAGGAAAUCAUAUAUUUGCUGUUAUGAAUACAUUUUGGGGAGAACAAAUUUUACUUUUCCUUUUCUCAAUAAAGAAAAUGGACAAAAAUUCAAUUGGACUCUAUACAUUCCCGAACGUUGAUGAGUAACUGGGAUCUGGGUCACUCGGUGACUGGGCUCGUAAGCAUGACCGGUUGACCCGUAUAUGACGGCGUUGAAACUGAAAAUUCUCCUCACAAAUGACGUUAUGAGCCACUUGGGGCCUUGGGCUCUUUGCCAAGGCCCAACUAGCAGACUCGAUUAAUUGGGCAAACUGCCCACUAAACCUUUUAAAACGUCCGGUUUUGGUCACACACAAAAAAAGCAAAAAAAUUUUUUUUGGUCAUUCCGAAUUAAUUAUUCAGCUAGCCUAAGUGCCUCAUUUUUCCCAUUCGUCUAAUUUCUGCCUUUCUCCAGAGAAUUUUCGUCUAUUGUCUUCAACGGUAUAGCCAUUUACGUAUAGAAAUGAGACAUAGUGAUGAUACGUGGGCAUUUGAGUAGAGGAAACCAACAAAAAUGCCUUCAAAUAGACAAUGAACUUAGUUGUGGGGCACUAAGCAUUGGAUUAAUUAAUAGAUAAAAUUGAACAAAAUGGGUAAAAUGAGAUAUUUACUAUUAUUGGAUAAUCGAUUGGAGACCCAAAAAAUUGGGGUCAAUGACUACGAGAUUUUCUAAUUGCCGUUAUUCGCAUGUCUUGCGUUUUCUUUAUCAACCUACGAAGUGAUUAUGUAGGAGACAUCCCGCAUCGGAAGGGGAAGAGCAAAGGAAUUGGUUUAAGAGCUUGGCCCUUGGCUGUCUUGAAAUUUGGGUCAAUAAAUUUUGAUUCAAAAAUUAUUUGGGCCAAACCUUGGAUCGGGUCAUGUUAAUUAGUAUUAGAGCGAACAUGACAUGGUCUUUGUAUGAAAUGAGCCUGUGCGAACGGAUUAUAAUUUCGACUACAAAAGGAAGUGCAAGGAAUUUAAUGUUGUGAAGGGCUAAAUGCCACUUCAGACGAGGAUUACUUCUAGAACUUGUAUGAGUCACUUCUAGAGUCCGAACACAACCAAAUGGGCAGUCUGAAUCUAACGGUUUUGGAUCGUGAUAGUUUGUAUAAGAGAUAAUCUCGCCUAUCUCUAUGUGGAGUGAGAUUGGGCUAAUGAGUUAUGAUUCUGAUUACGCAAGAAAGUGCAAAGAGUUAAGUGCUGUGCAAAAUUAAGUGCCACAUCUAGCGGGAGCCACUUCUAGAGUUCGUAUGAACCACUUUUAGAGUUUGAAUAAAAUUAAAUGGACAAUCUGGAUUCUGACGGGUUUUGCGAGGAUGUAAAGUUCAAAAGGUGGAGAGAAUGAGACAUCCCACAUUGAAAAAAGAAAGGAAACGGUUUAAAAGCUUGGCCCCUUAGCUACCUUAAAUUUGGGUUACUUAUUUUGAGCUAAUGGAUUUCAAUUCAAAAAUUACUUGGGCAGCUUUUAGAUUUGGGUCAUGACAACGUAGGUGAUGGUGCAUAGGAUAUCGUGCACUUCAAUAUUAAUUGAAGUCGUUUACCAUUUUUGUUUUCCUUUGGGUCAGUUAGCAUUCGAUUUUUUUUUUUCCCUUCGUUUUUGGUUGAGAGUGUUGAUGAGUUGUAGGAUUAACUUGUGCAGAGAAUGAUGGGAGAAUGCAUGAAAUUGAUCUCGAAGAAGGUUCAUAUGCUGAUUUGACUUAAAGAUCGGACCACGAAUUGAUUGAGUCUGCUUAUCACAAUUUAUUAAAAUCCUUUAAAAGGUGGACUUGGUUUUUUAGUUUCAAAAUUGGCAUGUUCGUUUUCCAAUUACACAAAGAAUUGGUCAAACGAAUGAAGCUCUAACACUAGCUUCGUUAAAAGUGAGUGAAUGUUACGUCCACAAGCAUAAACAAGUGUAUAAAAUUACUCCUCACUAAUCUGAGAUGAAAUCAAGUUUCAGACAGUGCUCGAAUUUCGUAUACUUGUGGAGAUUGAUUUUAGUGUUAACAAGAAAUGGAAUUAUGGAGAUCCAUUUUUUUUUCAUAGAUUUGUAAAUUAAGCGUUGACUGAAAGUUUCAUUUAUUUUUUUUGAAGGGAAAGUUGACUGAAGUUUCUACAUUAUGGGACAAUAUUAAGCAUGGACUAAAUACGCUUAUUGUAUAUUAUGGAAGCAUAAGAUCCAAGCAUAUUAUGGAAGCAUAAAGAUGCUCAAGCAGAAUCGAGCCAAUUGACUACCUUUCAAAACAUACAAUUCUUGUAAAGAAAGACUAGGAUUAUGUUUGAAUCAUCCAUUUAUUUUUUCAAAGAAAAAGCGUUAGAUGUCUUCUUUAUCAGUUCAUCGAACUAGCAACUUCAUCUUGAUGAUUCAGACCAGUAAGCAGCUGCAAAUCAAGAUUUCAAGCAUUAGUACGAGAAGACAUCCUUUUCCAUGCUAGUGGGCACAACACAUAUAGUAUAACUUUUCUCUUGUUUCCGUUUUUUUUUUUUUCUGAAUGAUAGAAACCAGUUAGCUUACAAGACUUCGUCCAAAAUAAAAGAAUUCAUCUAAAUUAGAAAAAAAAAAAGAACUUCAACCUGUGGGCUGUAUUAAAUUCUCGAGUAUACCUGUGGAUAUUAAGCUUGAACACUUUCUUGUUGUGCCCUGACACCAAGGAAAACAUCCUUAAUGAGGUGUAAUUUUCUGACAACUUCAUUCAUAUGCAUCCUAUCAUUUGGUAAUCUUGCAGAGCACUUAAGUCCGAUUUUCAGUAGGGAAAUAAUGCACUCCAUCUCUUUUCCACCAUUAAUAGUUUCCUCUCCAUGAGUAAUUCUACUGUUUUCAUCUCUUCCUUCAGAAAGAUGCAACGGGUCCACGAUCUCGGAGACUUAUUCAUGCAAAGCCCUAUUAACAUAGUUAUGUAUAUCUAACUCAUCCAUGAACAUAUCAUCUUUUGGCCUCCUCUUUGUGAUCAUCUCUAGCAAAAGAAUGCCGUAGCUGUAGACAUCCCCUGGAGUUGAUGCCACAUGACCCAUUCCAUACUCUGAAUUUUUGUUUCUAGAUAUAUUAAUGUUAUGUUGUAAAGGAGAAACUAUAUAUAUAGAAAUAUAAAAUCUAAGGGAGUAAAUUAAAUAUAGCUGCUAUGUUUAAGUACUAGUUUGUAAAUAAGACUUGAUUGAAAUUGUUAAAAUUAAUCACUAUACAUUUAGGUCAAUUGCUUAAUGUCCCUAUUGUUUUAUUAUCAAUAAGUAUCUCCUUAAAACUUAUGUCAAUUAUAUAUUAAGUGCAGCAAAAAGUCAUUUAUAACUUUUUACAUUAAGUGCUAUUCCUCAUCUUUUUUUUUUCUUAUCCAUAUGGUCAUGCCGUAUUUUCUUGCCUUUUGUUUCAAUAAUAUGCAUAUCUUCUUGUUUUGUCCUAGUUUCAAUUCCCAUUAAAAAUUUGUGGUAUUAGAAUAGUCAUUUUUUUUUUGUUCAUCAAUAAAGAGAGGGUCAGUUUGUAGUCAAAAUCCUACAGUUUUAAAUCUUGAAACAUGCAUUAAUUAUCCACUAAAUCAUAAGCUCAUUCUCAUUUAGCAAACAACUCCGCAUUCUGCUGUAAAUUCAAGGUAGAAAUUCUUUCCAAGUAACAUAUCACUGCUAGACAGGCUUUUUCUUCCGAAUUUUGAUGUAUUUUUUUUAAAGGUUGUGACCCUUUUCCCCGAUGAUGAUCAUGAUGAUGGUAAUAACCCUGCAAUGAAGCCAAACAUAGUAGUAUUUGUGUUGGGUUCAUGAGUAAGGGGUUGUGUCCCACAUCGGUCCUAGAGAUGGAAAAAGAGCGGUUAAUAUGUAAGUAAGGGUUCAAGACCUAAUAGCUUAAGCUUUUGGGUCAGAAUUGGGUUCUUGACUUACAUAUUGGGCUCUUUGGUGGACUCUCUCGAGGUGUUUCUCCCUAACAAAUUGGUAUCAGAGCUUCAGGUUGCAAAACUAGGUUACUCAUGGGCAAAUGGAUUCUUCUCGGAAUUGGAUCGGUGAAAAAUUCUCUUCUUGAUGGUGGACCGAAGUGCCAAGGAGUUUGGUUGGUGUUGGACCAGAUGUGCCAUGGGUUUGGCAGGGGUUCCGGUUGAUGUUAGACCAAGAAGCCAAGGGUUGGUAGAGGUCCAAAAAUAUAGUUUGGAUGUUGAAGAAGAGUGGGUCCAUGUUUGAAAGAAGAGGUGACCUUAAAAUGAUAAGGUGGGCUUGUGUUGAGUAUUAAAGUGGGCUCCGAAAAACAAGAGCUUGUAAAUUUGGGUUUAAUGUGGGGGUUACUCAUGAAGGGGGAGAUUUGUUGGGUUCAUGAGUAAGGGGUUGUGUCCCACAUCGGUCCGAGAGAUGGAAAAAGAGCUGUUAAUAUGUAAGUAAGGGUUCAAGACCUAAUAGCUUAAGCUUUUGGGUCAGCGUUGGGUUCCUGACUUACAUAUUGGGCUCUUUGGUGGACUUUCUCGAGGUGUUUCUCCCUAACAAUUUGGUCACUAGUUCUUCAUCUGUUUGUAUUGUGGAGCAGCUGUAAAUCACAAGAUUAUCAGCCCAAUACCUUUUGACAAUUAAUUUUUUAAAUCGAGCCCAAUAAAAAAGCAUGCCAUGACUGUAGAAAUCCCCUCGAGUUGAUGACUCCAACUCCAAUCCAUACUCUGAAAAUAGGGAUAAUAUCAGAAACCUCCCUUGAGGUUUCUCUUAAUAUCACUUGGUACUCCUAAGUUUUUUGAAAUAUCACUUACCUCCUCUAAUAAUUGUAAAAAGGCUAUAUAAAUGCUCAUUGACACAUAAUUCACAUAUCAAAUAAAUGGAACUCAAAAAUUAAAAAAAAAAAAGAAAUAAAAGUCACUUUCUUCUCUUUCCCUUUUCUCCAUCAUUCUCUCUUACUUGUUUUUUGGAUGACUAUGCAAUAUUUUAUUUGUAAAUUAUAAUAAAUUAAAUUUUGUUUAUAUUUUAUUUUUUGUGAUUAUGAUAAAGUGGGGUAUGAUUUAUUUGCUUAUUUUGAAUUAAUUUUUAUAAUGAUUGGUACAAUUUAAGCAAAGGUUGAGAAGAUGUUGAAAAAAAAAUAAAGUUCAUAAGAAAUCGGUUUUAAGCAUAUAGAAUAAAAUUGGUGCAAGUGUAUUUCUUUUCAAAUAUCUUUUUAAUUUUUUAAAUUUAUAUUUUUGUAGGGCAUAGCAUUAUAAUAUGGUAGUACUACGACAGAUUGUUUUGUAGGUGAUGGUUUUCUUGAAGUGAACAAAGUGGCUUAGAAAUAUUUUUAUUUAGCAAGUGAAAGGGUAGUUUAGGGCUUUUAAAAAUUUUGUUACACAAAUAACAAAAGUAAGGGAGGUAAGUGAUAUUUUUAAAACUUUAGAGGUGUCAGAUGAUAGUAAGAGAAACCUCAUGGGAGUUUUCUGAUAUUAGCCCCUGAAAAUAUUGAUUCUGAUCAGCAGCAUCAUGGCAAUGGAAAAAGAAUUUGUGGCGCUUGUAAUUGAUGAUUUACACCGUCUGAGCCACUCAAUUCCAUUUUAGUUUUCACUUCUAAUAGACUAAAUUACACUUUUUUCUAUGAUGAAAAAAUUGAAAAUUUUCAUGAAAAAGUUAAUUAUGCAGAUAUAGCUGGAAAGAUAAUUAUGACGACCGUGACUCCAAUUUGUGCAGAUUUUCAAGAUUGCCCUAAUUUUCAAUCAUAAGGGGGGAAAAAGCGUUGCAUUUGCCUCCAUGAAUUAUGACCGUGUCCCUAAAGAGCUUUAUUGGCAAUUUACCCUGACUAUUUUAAUUAUUUUUAUAUUUUUUUGCUUUCCUUAUAAUCUUUAAUUUCUUUUCUCUCUCUUAAUUUUUUGUUUUAAUUUUUUUUGUUUUUUCUGCAUUCCCUCAUUAUAUGAAGUCUAUUCUGUCACUAGUAGUAAUUGGUUAAUCACACGCUCUAAAUUUUACAUUUGUAUUUAAAUAUACUUAAUAUCUAGUAAACUUUACAGUACAAUAACACAUACGCUGAUUGUGUUACAAAGCAUAUAUAAUUCAAGAAUUAAAUUAUAUAAGCACAAGUACAUAAGCUAAUGUUUUUGAUUGAGCAAAUAACUAACAACAAUAUAUCACUUUGUAGUGUCAAGACAAAAUGGUAAAAACUAAUCCAAACAAUAAAAAACGAAAAAGCAAGAGAAAAAAGGCACAAAAGAAAAUAUGAAAAAUGAAGAUAAGUAAAAUAUCAAGGUUAGUUCCUCCUUAACCAUGAAUUUAGAGGUAAGUUGAGUAAAUAAAUCUUUAGGUGCAACCAUAAUCAAAGUUACAAUCUGUCGCGCCCCACUUUUCGAUAAAAUAAAUAAAUGGUUUAAAAAAAUGUAUUUUUGAUUCAAUUUGUGAUUGGAAAAUGAAUUGUGGUUUAAAAGAAAAAAAUGGGUCUAAAUGGGGGUUUGAGAAUGCGACGAUUUGACCCAGAAUUAUAGUUUAAAAAGGGUUUUUUGAAUAUGAAGACGGAGUCGCCACUUGGUAAUGAGUUAAGGUGUACCAAGUCACCUAAAAAUGUAUUUUUAAAGAAAAAUAGGAAAAAGUAGUGAUAAACCCCUUUUAAACGACUCCUAGUCUACGUAAACCAAAGAAAAAGGUUCGGGAGUCACAUUUGACAAAGGGGAAGGCAAGGAUAAAAUCCAAGGCACCCCUUUGACCUAGCCAAGGCUAGUUGCAUGAUUUAAUCAAAAAUUUUCUUGUUUUAAUCAAAGAAUUUAUUACAUUUGGAUGCACUACAUGAAUGCAAACCCUAGACCUAGGGGUAUUGGGGAAAUUUCUCUUCAAAGGUUGAGUGGUGCCAAUCACAUUAAUUGUGAAGCCCAAUAACAAACCUUCGAAGAAGUCACGAAUAAUGCAGGUGGAAUGCUCAAACAAGGAAAGAAAAUAUGAGAGGUGUGCAAAUGAAGGCAAAAGUGCUCGUGUGCAAGUAAAGGGAUAAAAAAAUGCAUAUGUGCAAAUGAGACAAAAUGUUCGUGUGCAAGUGAAGGGAUAAAAAAGGUGUACGUGUGCAAAUGGGAGGAGAAGUGUUCGUGUGCAAGUGAAGGGAUAAAGGUGUACGUGUGCAAAUGAGAGGAAAAGUGAAAGUGUAAUGAUAGAGUGGAUGCAUGAACCUAGGGAAUUCAUGCAUAUUGGAUACGGGGAGACCUAAAUCGUGACUCAAUUUGCCCUUUUAUAGAGGGAAUACAAGCAUGCUAAGGCUUAGAAAAAAGCCACACUCGUCUAUAUCCCAUAUUUAAGGGGACUCUCAAGCAAAUGAACCCUAUAACUAGCAUGAAAUGCAAAAAUCCUAAAAUGGAGGGAAAACGGGUUCGAGGGGCAUGCAAAAUGAUAAAACUAAAAAGAAUGCAUGACAUGUAAUGAACAUGCAAACAUGUACUAACGAGGGGAAAUCCCUAAGGGUCUAGCGUUGGACUAGCCCAUUCUAUGAAUUCCGACUAGCGUUGGACUAGUGGAAACGUACAUUCAUCCAUCAUAUUCAUUCAGGCUAUGGAAAGCGAGUAGACAUGCCAAACACUUAUAAACACAUAGCACAUAACAUUUAGCAUGCUCGACUAGAUGCGAGGCCCUAACAAAGCAAAUUAACACGUAGUAACUAAGCAUGCAUGACACAUAAGACAAUUAAAGCCCUGACUAUUACAUUUGCUAGCUAGGCACAUGACUUCGAUAGGUCUUCAUUGAAUGCUCCUCCAAGCCCUAUCUAUUACAUUAGGGAGACCCUACUACAAUCUAAAAGGGGGAAAAGGAAUAAAAUAAUUAAAUCCCUAACUAUUACAAGCCAAGAGGUGUACACAUACCCCAUAAAGAAUAACUUAAAUAAAAAGCAAAAGUAAAUGACAUAAAUAAAAGAAAUUUAAAGAAAGGCAAAGAAAGCAAAGUAGACAUGCAUAUUCACAUAACACGUAGGAGCACGUAGGAAAAAUAAACUCAAGGAUAUAGAAGUUACCUCCCUUGCAAUGGAAAUCGAGUAAAUGAGAUAUUAGCUUCAAAACAAUAAAAAGGUCAAGGUACCAAUUUAUUUGACAAAUAAUCACAAAAAAAAAUAAAAUGGCAAACUUGAAAUUGAAUCAAUUGAAUCAUGUAAGCAAACCACAUUCAAGAAGUCAAGAGAAGAAAGGACCUGAUUGCAAAAAUUGAUAAAACUUUGGGGCCAAAAUUAAAGAAAAAUAAAGUUCAGGGACCUAUUUGCAAUUAAUUUAAGGACCCAAUUGAAAGAAGUUGAAAAUAUCCAGGGCCACAGCACAGUUAAGGAGAAAUUCAGGGACUGAUUUGCAAAAUCGUUUUCUGGUCUCCUAAUGGACCGAACCAUUGGGCCAUUUCCUUUAUUUGCUUGGGCCAAAGCUUCCCAGCCCAAUAGAAAUUCAGAACAAAAAGGGAAUGGGCUAUUUUAUUUGUUUCUUUGGGCCAACCCAUCCUAGCCCAACCGAAAACCCAGCAAAGACAGAUGGGUUUUAACCUGCCUAGCCCAAAUCAUAAAUCCAAGAUAAAUAGAACGAAGCCCAUCAUAAAAAAAACCAAACAAAACAUCCCUCUAAUCCAAAAUGUUACCAAAUUAGCAACUCAACUAAAAUUAUUAAGCCCCAAUUAUGAUCUAAAACUAACGUUAAUAAAAAGAUGAUUACAAUUGCCGGGUCCUAUCAAAACAAGAAAAAAAAUUGAGAGGGGUUCCAAUGUAGUAAAAACCAGGGACUUAAUUGAAAGCAUUUAUACAAGUCUUGGGGUCAACUUAUGAAGCCCAAACAACUUUGGGGUGAAGUUUCACGAUAAACAAACAGAAUGGAAGGGCCAAAAUUAUGUUUGCAGACCAACGGUCUUCUUCUCAAACACCAAUUCGCCAUUUCUGUCCGUAUAACCAGAGCAAAGCCAAAAUUCUAGCCAUUCUCAAUCAAAAAACGAAAAUCACCCAAAAACUCUUUUCAUACAAUAUCAAUUCGAGUUCAUUCAACCGGACCACACAAAACGGAAAGAAAUGAAAUACAGCAAAAUGCAUCAUAAAUUUUCAAAUGUAAGGAAAGUGAUUUGGCCGAAUGUAUACAAAAACAGAAAUUAAUUUGACUUUGAAGUUGAACCCCCGGUUAGGCAUUUUAUCGAGCAGCAAAUGAGCCAAAAGAAAAAUCGAUGAUUUUUGCUUAAUUGAAGUCAUGAUCAGCCCAGAAAUUAGUCAAAACCCACAAGAUUCCAGUCUAAUUAAUAUACAAAAACAUGCCUAUUCCACAAUCAUGUGUAAUCAGCAUAAAAUUGCAAUAAAUAAUUCUCUGCUUUGGGAAACUUAAAAAAACCCGAGCUUAAAAAAGAAACAAAAAAUUCUCAGGGAGGGAGAGGACUUACAGCACCUGCUCGGCGAAGAUUGGCGGAUGAUGGUGAUGUGUAUUCGAUGACACAGUAACGGCCUGGUGAAUUGGAAACCUCCGCUGCCGUCGCUGCUCAAGUCAUCCCCGGACGAGACGCAGGUGGAGAAGCAUUUGAUAAUAGGCUCUGGCUAUGAAACUGCUGCGCUUGGGGCAGCUUCAUUGAGUUUGAGCAGCUGGAAGUCGAAGUCUUGGGUGUCGAGGACUUCAUGUUUUCUCUGAUUUUGUCGACCGAAGUCCCUUUCCAAGUUUCCCCUCUUGCUCUGUUUUGCGUUGCUCUGCCGAGGCCUUUCUUCUGAUUUUUCUUGUUCCUUGCCUUCUUCUCCUUUUCCUUUCUUUUCUCCCAGACGAAAAUUUUCUGUUUUUGUUCUUUUGCUCCUGCUCGACAAUUCCGCCGCCCCUGCCCUCUCUAGAUUCAUCCCCGCCUCUGUUUUUUGCUCUCGUUGAAAACCUCCCCUCUUUUUUCUUUUCUUUUUAGUUUGCCGCUGCCAACCUUCUCUAUUUUUUAUGCCCGUCACCCUUCAAGCUCCCCUGUUUUCUUUUCUUUUUCUUUUGUUUUUCCAGAAUCUCCCCUCUGUUUCUGUUUUUCUCUCAUCCGUGGCCUCUUUUUUUCUUCCAAUUCUCAAAACCUCCCUUCUAAGCUAAACAAGUGUCCUCCUAAAUGUUGUGUUGUCAAUUAAACAAAAGGGACACUUGUCCCUCAAAUUCCUUAACCACUUGUCCCAUGAUUGUUUUGUACACUUGUUCAACAUGCACACUUCCACCUAUUUUUGUCACUUUCAUUCUUUUUCUUUCAUUUUUCAUUUUUCAUCAUUUUUCACUUUUUCUCUUCUUUUUUCCUUUUUUUUCAUUUUCAAGAAAUUCUAUGCUAAAAACACAAAAAACUAAAAAACUAAAAACUAAAAAGUGAAAAAAAAACGAGCACAGACUAAAAAAUAAUUAGUAAAUGAAAUUACACCAAAAUUUGGUGUCUACACAAUCUAUGGGGUAAAAUGAUACGUCAGGGGACAAAGUGGCUUUGGGACCAAAUUGUUAGGGGGCCUAAUGCAAUUAAUCCUAUUGUUUUCCCACUUUUGUUUUUUUGUAGAACACAGGAAACCAAUCAGAGUGUUGCCAUUCAUGACUUGGUAGCAGGCAGAUUACUUGAUCUGCUCUAAGUCUUCACAAACACAGGAAACUGAGCUGGAGUCUCUCUAAUACUUCAUUAUCUUUGUCAAUUUACACAAAUAAUUUAUCUGAGAUUGGAGAAAAUGUAUUUUAUUAUCUUGACCUAAAAUACAAAAGUACUGGCUUUGACUUACUUAUUUUUAUUUUUAUUUUCCCCCUCAUCUUUUUUUUUUCUUUUAGUGCAAGUAGAAGGAUUCAAACCCGAAUUCUCUUAUUUACACUCUCUCCUCUCGAAUCACCCCACUCAUCUCUCCCACCCUUCAUUUUCUAAUUAACAACUAACCUCAUGUCUUUCCAUCAACUCACAUUUCUUCUUGUGUUUUACGAAAUGCUAAUCACAAUUUUUCUAAAAUUCAAAAUCUUGUCAUUAUGUUAGAUGACCACCUGCAAAACAAGUACAAUUUUCAAUUCUUGUGCCAAUUUUCAUAAGAAUUUUAGUUGCUUUGUCAUCUGUUAGUUUUGUUUUUUUAGAUGACCAGUGUAAAAGGUGUACAUUUACAUGUACGUAGCUCAAGACUUUUUCUAUGGCAUAAUUUUUACAAAAGCUAAAGAAUAAAAUUGAUAGAGCGGACAAAUCGUACAACAGAUCAAAUUUGGUUCAAAGUUUUGUGCACAAUUAAGUAUCUUCUUAUUUAUUCUUGGGUAAAUUAUGUUUUACCAUCCUACAUUUUAGAGCAUUUCCACAUAAUCCUUCUAUAGUUAUAAAAGUUAGACAUAACCCCCUAUGGUUGGACCAAAGUAUUAAAGUGACAAAAAUUACUUGUGACACAAUGGUUCGCAGCUACUCGAUCAUCUUUCUUCCUCAUGCAAAAAUUAAUUCUUUCUCAUAGACAAUUGAAAAUUCAAAAUUUCAUAGAAUAUUCAUUAUGGUUGUGAUUAGUGCAAAUAUUCAUUGUAUACUGUUUAUGAAUGAUUUUUAGGUACAGAAGAUCCUGAACCACUGGUUCAUGAAGCUUCAAUGUUUGAUUUUAUACCGAUCAGCCAUUUAAUGGUAUAGCAAUAAAGGCUUUGGCUUUUGACAUUUGUAGGAGCUUCUAUUCUCCUUUCUGGCUUACUCCAUUGUUAACGACAAUACGAUCAUGAGUUAAAGCUACUCAGCUCUUUAGUUGAUAUUUCAUGCGCUCGAGUUGACAUUUUUGUGGUUAACCAUUUCGCAUGUACGUAAUUUUCUGAGUCCGUUAACUAACUACUUUUCUACUUAAAUCAUAGAAAAAGAUGUCUUGUUGGAUCUCUUAACAAAAAUAGCAUCAUCUAAAAAUACCACAAAUUAGUUACACUGAUAGGUUGCAUUUUUGUCAUUAAUUCUAUGAUUAUUUUCCUCUUUUAUUUUACCAAAUAUUGUAUUAAUUGAUAGAUUCUACUUAUAUUUAGUAUUUGGUACUAAUUGUAGGAAGGUGGAGCAAAAUGUGAUAAAAAAUGUGAUUUUUCAAGAGUUUCCCAAUUCAAAAUGGAGUCGACGUGGAUUAUUGGCAGAAGAUUAGGAGGAAGUCUAUUUGGUUUCAAAAAGCUAAAAAUUAGGAAAAAGAUAGGAUGACCAUGCCCGUGUGAUUACUACUAGAAAGAGUCAACAAUUACGAGGAUUGGGGACUUGGUUUUUCGUUUGACUUGUAGUAAUUUUCUAAAACAAUUCCUUAGCUUUUGCUAAUUUGGGGGGGUUGACCGAAAUUGGAGGAAACAAAGCAAAUAAGAGGAAAAAAAGCCGGAUCCCGCGGGAUGACUACUCAGCCAGGGAUCUCACGGGAUUACUACUUGGCCAGGGAAUAAGAAGAGAAAAGGGUGGCGGCCGCUGGGCUCUCUGCUCCGCGAAGUAGUUCUUUUACUACCGAACAUUGACGCAAUUUCGUGAAGGGGACUUGUGUGAGUUACUCUCAAUGGAGAGUAACUAAUCUUGUUUUCUAGUCAAGGGGACAACUGAAGAUUUGGUUCAACAAUUACUGUGAGAUCGAAAUUAUUUUAAUUGCUUCCUCCAUUUAUUGGUAUUCGUAUGUUUUCUGCUUUUACUUGUUGUUAUAGCUAUCGUGUAUGAUUGAAUAGCUGCGCAAUAUUUAAUUAUUCAUGUAGGCUAUUGUGCUAAUUAGGGGUAAUUGAAUCCGUAAUUGUUCGUUAUCUCUAUCUAAGUAGCAACUGGCGUAAUUGGGUUUAUGUCAGGGGAACAUACGAUCUAACUUAAACAAACCCUCGUAGCGUUUUUGUUAGUUAAAAUUAGGCCUUUCUAAUUAUUAAUGCAAACCAAAAAUUAAAUCCUACGGUCGUACCUAGGGUUGUUUCUGGGUUAGAAAAAUAGUUAACGGUCGUACCUUAAUUAUCGAACAAUUAAGGAAUCGUUGGCUGUUUAUCGCAUGCAUGACAACUAUAACUAGUCUAUUAAUAAAUGUUGGAAUUAUCUGUGAAUCGAUGAUCAGUGCAUGAACCAUUUCUGAAGUGUACCCCUAGUUAGAGUUCUCCCAAUUAAUUAUUUUGCACAUUUAAUUUAUUUAGUUAGCAAUUCAUUUGCAUUUAAUCUUAAAACCCCUCAUACUUUGAACUCUAGAAGAAACGAAUUAUCCCCAAUCCAUGUGGAUUCGACCCUACUCACCGCUGUAUACAAAAUCGGUAUUUCUCUUGAGUAGGUAAUUAUUAUUGCACAGGCUCGACACCUGUCAAUUUUUAAAAUUGAUAGGUUGCAUUUUUGUCAUUAAUUCUAUGAUUAUUUUCCUCUUUUAUUUUACCAAAUAUUGAAUUAAUUGAUAGAUUCUACUUAUAUUUGGUAUUUGGUACUAAUUGUAGGAAGGUGGAGCAAAAAGUCAUAAAAGAGGUGAUUUUUCAAGAGUUUUCCAAUUCAAAAUGGAGUCGACGUGGAUUAUUGGCAGAAAAUUAGGAGGAAGACUAUUUGGUUUCAAAAAGCUAAAAAUUAGGAAAAAGAUAGGAUAACCAGGCCCGUGUGAUUACUACUAGAAAGAGUCAACAAUUACGAGGAUUGGGGACUUGGUUUUUCGUUUGACUUGUAGUAGUUUUCUAAAACAAUUCCUUAGCUUUUGCUAAUUUGGGGGGGUUGACCGAAAUUGGAGGAAACAAAGCAAAUAAGAGGAAAAAAGGCCGGAUCCCGCGGGACGACUACUCAGCCAGGGAUCUCACGGGAUUACUACUUGGCCAGGGAAUAAGAAGAGAAAAGGGGGGCGGCCGCAGGGCUCUCUGCUCCGCGGAGUAGUUCUUUUACUACCGAACAUUGACGCAAUUUUGUGAACGGGACUUGUGUGAGUUACUCUCAAUGGAGAGUAACUAAUAUUGUUUUCUAGUCAAGGGGACAACUGAAGAUUUGGUUCAACAAUUACUGUGAGAUCGAAAUUAUUUUAAUUGCUUCCUCCAUUUAUUGGUAUUCGUAUGUUUUCUGCUUUUACUUGUUGUUAUAGCUAUCGUGUAUGAUUGAAUAGCUGCGCAAUAUUUAAUUAUUCAUGUAGGCUAUUGUGCUAAUUAGGGGUAAUUGAAUCCGUAAUUGUUCGUUAUCUCUAUCUAAGUAGCAACUGGCGUAAUUGGGUUUGUGUCAGGGGAACAUACGAUCUAACUUAAACAAACCCUCGUAGCGUUUUUGUUAGUUAAAAUUAGGCCUUUCUAAUUAUUAAUGCAAACCAAAAAUUAAAUCCUACGGUCGUACCUAGGGUUGUUUCUGGGUUAGAAAAAUAGUUAACGGUCGUACCUUAACUAUCGAACAAUUAAGGAAUCGUUGGCUGUUUAUCGCGUGCAUGACAACUAUAACUAGUCUAUUAAUAAAUGUUGGAAUUAUCUGUGAAUCGAUGAUCAGUGCAUGAACCAUUUCUGAAGUGUACCCCUGGUUAGAGUUCUCCCAAUUAAUUAUUUUGCACAUUUAAUUUAUUUAGUUAGCAAUUCAUUUGCAUUUAAUCUUAAAACCCCUCAUACUUUGAACUAUAGAAGAAACGAAUUAUCCCCAAUCCAUGUGGAUUCGACCCUACUCACCGCUGUAUGCAAAAUCGGUAUUUCUCUUGAGUAGGUAAUUAUUAUUGCACAGGCUCGACACCUGUCAAUUUUUAAAAUUGAUAGGUUGCAUUUUUGUCAUUAAUUCUAUGAUUAUUUUCCUCUUUUAUUUUACCAAAUAUUGUAUUAAUUGAUAGAUUCUACUUAUAUUUGGUAUUUGGUACUAAUUGUAGGAAGGUGGAGCUAAAAGUCAUAAAAGAGGUGAUUUUUCAAGAGUUUCCCAAUUCAAAAUGGAGUCGACGUGGAUUAUUGGCUGAAAAUUAGGAGGAAGUCUAUUUGGUUUCAAAAAGCUAAAAAUUAGGAAAAAGAUAGGAUGACCAGGCCCGUGUGAUUACUACUAGAAAGAGUCAACAAUUACGAGGAUUGGGGACUUGGUUUUUCGUUUGACUUGUAGUAGUUUUCUAAAACAAUUCCUUAGCUUUUGCUAAUUUGGGGGAGUUGACCGAAAUUGGAGGAAACAAAGCAAAUAAGAGGAAAAAAGGCCGGAUCCCGCGUGAUGACUACUCAGCCAGGGAUCUCGCGGGAUUACUACUUGGCCAGGGAAUAAGAAGAGAAAAGGGGGGCGGCCGCUGGGCUCUCUGCUCCGCGGAGUAGUUCUUUUACUACCGAACAUUGACGCAAUUUCGUGAAGGGGACUUGUGUGAGUUACUCUCAAUGGAGAGUAACUAAUCUUGUUUUCUAGUCAAGGGGACAACUGAAGAUUUGGUUCAACAAUUACUGUGAGAUCGAAAUUAUUUUAAUUGCUUCCUCCAUUUAUUGGUAUUCGUAUGUUUUCUGCUUUUACUUGUUGUUAUAGCUAUCGUGUAUGAUUGAAUAGCUGCGCAAUAUUUAAUUAUUCAUGUAGGCUAUUGUGCUAAUUAGGGGUAAUUGAAUCCGUAAUUGUUCGUUAUCUCUAUCUAAGUAGCAACUGGCGUAAUUGGGUUUGUGUCCGGGGAACAUACGAUCUAACUUAAACAAACCCUCGUAGCGUUUUUGUUAGUUAAAAUUAGGCCUUUCUAAUUAUUAAUGCAAACCAAAAAUUAAAUCCUACGGUCGUACCUAGGGUUGUUUCUGGGUUAGAAAAAUAGUUAACGGUCGUACCUUAACUAUCGAACAAUUAAGGAAUCGUUGGCUGUUUAUCUCGUGCAUGACAACUAUAACUAGUCUAUUAAUAAAUGUUGGAAUUAUCUGUGAAUCGAUGAUCAGUGCAUGAACCAUUUCUGAAGUGUACCCUUGGUUAGAGUUCUCCCAAUUAAUUAUUUUGCACAUUUAAUUUAUUUAGUUAGCAAUUCAUUUGCAUUUUAUCUUAAAACCCCCCAUACUUUGAACUCUAGAAGAAACGAAUUAUCCCCAAUCCAUGUGGAUUCGACCCUACUCACCGCUGUAUACAAAAUCGGUAUUUCUCUUGAGUAGGUAAUUAUUAUUGCACAGGCUCGACACCUGUUAAUUUUUAAAAUUGAUAGGUUGCAUUUUUGUCUUUAAUUCUAUGAUUAUUUUCCUCUUUUAUUUUACCAAAUAUUGUAUUAAUUGAUAGAUUCUACUUAUAUUUGGUAUUUGGUACUAAUUGUAGGAAGGUGGAGCAAAAAGUCAUAAAAGAGGUGAUUUUUCAAGAGUUUCCCAAUUCAAAAUGGAGUCGACGUGGAUUAUUGGCAGAAAAUUAGGAGGAAGUCUAUUUGGUUUCAAAAAGCUAAAAAUUAGGAAAAAGAUAGGAUGACCAGGCCCGUGUGAUUACUACUAGAAAGAGUCAACAAUUACGAGGAUUGGGGACUUGGUUUUUCGUUUGACUUGUAGUAGUUUUCUAAAACAAUUCCUUAGCUUUUGCUAAUUUGGGGGAGUUGACCGAAAUUGGAGGAAACAAAGCAAAUAAGAGGAAAAAAGGCCGGAUACCGCGGGAUGACUACUCAGCCAGGGAUCUCACGGGAUUACUACUUGGCCUGGGAAUAAGAAGAGAAAAGGGGGGCGGCCGCUGGGCUCUCUGCUCCGCGGAGUAGUUCUUUUACUACCGAACAUUGACGCAAUUUCGUGAAGCGGACUUGUGUGAGUUACUCUCAAUGGAGAGUAACUAAUCUUGUUUUCUAGUCAAGGGGACAACUGAAGGUUUGGUUCAACAAUUACUGUGGGAUCGAAAUUAUUUUAAUUGCUUCCUCCAUUUAUUGGUAUUCGUAUGUUUUCUGCUUUUACUUGUUGUUAUAGCUAUCGUGUAUGAUUGAAUAGCUACGCAAUAUUUAAUUAUUCAUGUAGGCUAUUGUGCUAAUUAGGGGUAAUUGAAUCCGUAAUUGUUCGUUAUCUCGAUCUAAGUAGCAACUGGCGUAAUUGGGUUUGUGUUAGGGGAACAUACGAUCUAGCUUAAACAAACACUCGUAGCGUGUUUGUUAGUUAAAAUUAGGCCUUUCUAAUUAUUAAUGCAAACCAGAAAUUAAAUCCUACGGUCGUACUUAGGGUUGUUUCUGGUUUAGAAAAAUAGUUAACGGUCAUACCUUAAUUAUCGAGAAAUUAAGGAAUGGUUGGUUGUUUAUCGCGUGCAUGACAACUAUAACUAGUCUAUUAAUAAAUUUUGGAAUUAUCUGUGAAUCGAUGAUCAGUGCAUGAACCAUUUCUGAAGUGUACCCUUGGUUGGAGUCCUCCCAAUUAAUUAUUUUGCACAUUUAAUUUAUUUAGUUAGCAAUUCAUUUGCAUUUAAUCUUAAAACCCCCCAUAUUUUGAACUUUAGAAGAAACGAAUUAUCCCCAAUCCCUGUUAAGUGGCUAAUUGUGCAUAUAAUUGGUACAUAUUAUCCCCUUUAUUUUGCUAAAAUAUGGCGUUAAUCGAUGUAUUUCACUCAUAUUUGAAUUUCGGUACUUUUUGUGGGAGUUGUUAGUGAGAAUGAAGAAAAAGGCGCGUUAAAAGUCGACUUUACAGAAAAUAUUUUGUAAAGCGUGCCCACGUUUUGUCAAACUCGAAAUGAUGCUUCUAAAGGUCCAUGUCCAGAAGAUCUUUCGUUAUAAAGCGUGCCUACGCCUUAUUUGACAAAGCAGUCAAAAGUUCGCAGGACAUGAGAUCAAUCUGUUGAUUGAUCAAGAAGCCAGUUGCAGCCCAUGAUUUUACAUAUUAGUCACGGAAAUGGAUAUCUUGAGGGGUUAUGACUUGAUGUAAUUUAUUUUGGAAAUCAAUUGAUAGGUCUUGGUUGGUUAGUUUAGUUUAAGUAGGAGUCCUAGAAGGAAAAGGGGAUCCCGUCCUUAUUAAUAGGGGAGAAAACAGACAUGGGCAGGGGGCUUCCAUUGGCUCUUAUUCUUUUCCUCUUUUUCUCUACAAUAAACCCUAAUAUUCCUUACGGCCGCGAAUCUAUCAUGAGGAGUGGCUAAUCUCUUUUCUAGUUGAAGGAUAGUUGAAGCUUUGGUUCGACAAUACUGUGAGAUCUAAUUUGAUUUGUUUGCUUCGUUUAUUUAUGAGUAUUUGUUUAUUCUCUGUUCAUUCAUGACUAUGAUUAUUUGCUACAGUUAAAUACCUGAUCAAUAUUUAAUUGCUGAAAUAGUCUUUUGCCAUCUAAAAUAUCAAAUCCGUAAUUGUUUGAUGGUUUUAGUAUCUUUGGCGCGUGAUGUAAUUUGAUUGUAAAAAAAACUUUCGAAUCUAUGUCACGGGAAUAUAUAAUCUAACUUAAAUGAACCGAGCUUGUGUGUUUAUUGGUUAGAAUUGGUAGCUUCUCUAAUUAUUAAUGCUGUCAAUAGGUUAAAUCCUAAGAGCUUGUUUAGGGUUGCUUAAUUGGCAAGAGAAAUAACCACAGAGCGUGUUGUGGUUAUUGAAACAGUAAGGUGAUGUAGGUUGUCAGAGCGUGUUGACGACCAUAACCAGUUUAUUCAUGAAUAAGUGAUUUCACCUUUGCAUCGAUGAUCAGUUAAAUGAACCAAAGUGGAAAUUAGGCCUUCGAUUAGAGUAUUGUCUUUCAUUGGUUUAGUUUUAUUUAAUUUUGUGAUAUUGUCUUUAUUUUUAUUCACGUGAGCUAUUUAGCUAAUUUCUCCUAAUCCCCUAUUUUUCACAAAGAAAUAAAUCGCCCAAUCCCUGUGGAUACGACCCUACUCACCGCUACACUCAAAUCCAUAUUAUUAGAGUAGGAACUUUUAUUUUUGCUGGUUUGACAAGCCAACAAUCCUUGUGGAUUCGACCCUACUCACCGCAGUAUACAAAAUCGGUAUUUCUUUUGAGUAGGUAAUUAUUAUUGUACAGGCUUGACACCUGUCAAUUUUUGGCGCCGUUGUCGGGGACUGGUGCUUGAUUAAUUUGUUUCUUUUUGAGUUCAUCUUGUUUUCAUUUUUUUAAUUUUUCUCUUAUUUUUUUUAUAUAUAGUUUAUAGCUGCUAACAUUCCGUAUUUUGGUGAUCAACUGGAUUUUAUUUCUAGAAGGGGUUAUGAGACUCGUGUUUUUUCUAAUGAUCAAUGGGUUGUUGCAAAUUGUGAAACUUAUUUUGCCUCAAACCAUUCAAUCCACAUGUGCCAUACAUUUCAAGAUGGUCUAAGUGCUCCAAUCGAUACUUUUGAAGAUUUUUCACCUCAAUAUCAAAUAUGGUAUGACCCUUAUUUAAACGGGUAUGAGCAAGGAUGGUGGGAUGAUUCCACUUUUAAUUAUGAACAAAGGCCAAUAGAUUUUCAGCAGCUAGAGUCUCAAGAAUCGUCAUCCAUGUCAGGUAUGUCUCUUGAAGAAAUAAUUGAAUUAAUAGCUACUAACACAUAUCAAAUUCAACAGGAGACAAUGAAUCUUCAUCAGGAGACAAUAAAUUUUCAUCAAGAGACACAAGCGAGCAUGCGUAACCUGGCAGAUCAAAUGGAUCAAUUGACAUCUAGGAUAACGCAAUUGACUUCUCGAAUGAGUGAAGAAUUGCCCUCACAGACUAUUAUCGACCAUGAGGAAGAUAAGAGUGCAAUUAUUCUGACAAAUGACAUGAUACUGCGAGAAUCUCAAGAAGAAGGAUCUAAAAAUGCAAUUGAAAAGAAAGUUGAAGUGCAAGACAUGAGACCCCAAUAUCAAAUGGUUCAAGCGAAUGAAUUCAGUGAACAAUCUCCAAAUGCGGUGACAUCUCCUCCAUUCCUUAAUCAAUAUUUUCCCAACUCUUAUUCUUUAAUUCCUACUAGUGAAAUUGAUUUUAUUAUAUCAGAAGAUUUUAAAUUUCAUGACAGGAAUAAGUUAAGAGUUGCAAUGGCAAAAUAUCUCGAACCAAUAAGUGCUCAUGAUGGAGGAAUGAGUGAAGAUUUAAGGUCAUCACUUGUUUGUUUGGCGCCAUCUAUUAGUCCAUGGAAGACCGUAACUCGUGUACUCAAGGAUCACUCUAUUUUCGAUAGCUAUCAGGAUUACAUAGAAGAUGAAGCACUGAACGCCACAAGAUUUUAUCCUCCAUGAAUAAACAUGAAAAUGUCUAACCAAAGACAUUAAAGAAAGACGCUGCUUAGGAGGCAACCCAAGGCUUUUGUUUUAAUUUUCUUAUAUUUUUGGAGUUUUUGUUAAGUGUUAGUUGCAUUUACUGAUUUGUUUCUUUUGUGGCAGGAAGUUGGCAGUUAGACGUGCCCACGGUAGGUGGUCACGCCUAAGAAAGGAAGUUUUAAUUUGACGGACAGAAGACUACCCAACAAUUAGGCGUGCCUACGCCAGAUGGUCACGCUUAAGGAAAGCAAUUUUCGUCUGCGGUCAAAAGACUCUACAGUAAUUAGGCGUGCCCACGCCAAAUGGUCACGUUUAAGGAACUCAAUUUCCGAAAAUUGGUCAAAAGACUCUCUAGUAGUUAGGCGUGCCCACGCCAGGUGGUCACGCUUAAGGAUCUUAAUUUCGGACGGUUGGUCAGAAGACUUGAAGGCAGUUAGGCGUGCCCACGCCUAACACAAGGGUUCCUUUCAUAAAAAAAAAAAAAAAUUCCUUUCUUUUCUUUUUCUUUCUUUCUUUCUCUCUUUUCUUCUUCUCUCCCUUUCCUUUUUAUUCCUUUCUUUUCUUUUCCAGUUGCAAGACCGCAACCAAAGGACUUCAAAUUCCACUGCCACCGUUGCACUGUUCAACGUGGAUCGUCAGUUCCUGAUUAUCGCUGUUCAUCGCGCGUAAUUCUUCCUCAUCCAUCGUAAGCCACCUGACAUCCUUAGCUGCCGAUCAUAGCUUUCAUCGUCAUCAGUUUUGCCAUCGAGCUCUACAUAUCUUUUGCCUCUCACCUACAGUUGUGCCACAACCCCCCUUUGAUGACCAAGGAAGUUUCGUUGUCCCUUUUUGCUUUGAAUUUUAUUCUUUAUUACUUACAUUGGGGACAAUGUAAGAUUUAGGUGUGGGGGGAGUAAUAUAUUGAAAAAGUGCAAGUGUAGGCAUUUUUGUUGGAAUUUUUUGUUUGACUUUGUCCAAUUUUGUCCAAUUUUUUGCCUAUCUUUGUGCAUAUUUGUGAUUAUUCCUGAUAAACGAUGGUUAAAUGUCUCAAACUUUUCUAUUGCCAAGAUUUUAAACUCUAAGGUGUUAAGUAUAACAUGGUUAAGUUUAAGAGUAUCUUUUUGGUGAAUAUUUGAGAUUUUGUGACUUUUACACUUUUUGGUUAACUUAUCUAAAUAUUGUAAAUAUUUGUCUAGCAUUUUUUUAUACAAAUUGGUUCAACUAUUAAUCUUAGUUCUCCAUGUUUAAGAAAUAAAGCGGGUUUGUGUGAUUAUUAAUUUUAAUUUGGUGCUUAUUUAUGAAUAGUAUUCGGCUAUAUUCCGCUAGUAUCGUUGCCUAGUAACUGGAGGUUUUCACCACAAGUGUUGACUUUCGCGUUAAAAAGCGACGAUAACUAUGAGUAUGUGGUCUUUUAGCGAUAAAAGUUGAGUAACCGAGUUCUUUCAUUUGGCCAAUGUCGGAAUUCGCGUCAAAACGCUUAAAUGGUUAAAGACUAAGCAUUCCUCCCUGAAGAAAAAAAAAUCAAUCAAGUGUAGGGAUAUUUUGAAAAAAAAAAGUGCUAAUAGUGAAAAAUGUGAAUGAAUUGUUAACCCGCUGAUCCAUGAAUUUUAAUGUUGAGAUUUUGCUUAAUAGUCAAACCAUUUGCUUAUGAAUGCUAGUUGAAUAUUUUAUAUUCUUAGAUUAGUUAAUCAUAAAUUGAAAGAGUUCUUGAUCUUGAAAGCUAUCUGGAGAGAUAUUUCUUACAAAUUGCCACUAAUACUUGACAUAUAUUUUAAUUGUAUCUUAGCAAUAGAAGAUUUGAGCAAUAGUUAUUGUUUGAAUUUGAUUGCUUGAUCUGUUGUUCUCAUGCUUGAGGACAAGCAUGGUUUAGGUGUGGGAGAAAUUGAUAGGUUGCAUUUUUGUUAUUAAUUCUAUGAUUAUUUUCCUCUUUUAUUUUACCAAAUAUUGUAUUAAUUGAUAGAUUCUACUUAUAUUUGGUAUUUGGUACUAAUUGUAGGAAGGUGGAACAAAAAGUGAUAAAAGAGGUGAUUUUUCAAGAGUUUCCCAAUUCAAAAUGGAGUCGACGUGGAUUAUUGGCAGAAGAUUAGGAGGAAGCAUAUUUGGUUUCAAAAAGCUAAAAAUUAGGAAAAUGAUAGGAUGACCAGGCCCGUGUGAUUACUACUAAAAAGAGUCAACAAUUACGAAGAUUGGGGACUUGGUUUUUCGUUUGACUUGUAGUAGUUUUCUAAAACAAUUCCUUAGCUUUUGCUAAUUUUGGGGGGGGGGGGGUUGACCGAAAUUGGAGGAAACAAAGCAAAUAAGAGGAAAAAAGGCUGGAUCCCGCAGGAUGACUACUCAGCCAGGGAUUUCACGGGAUUACUACUUGGCCAGGGAAUAAGAAGAGAAAAAGGGGGCGGCCGUUGGGCUCUCUGCUCCGCGGAGUAGUUCUUUUACUACCGAACAUUGACGCAAUUUCGUGAAGGGGACUUGUGUGAGUUAUUCUCAAUGGAGAGUAACUAAUCUUGUUUUCUAGUCAAGGGGACAACUGAAGAUUUGGUUCAACAAUUACUGUGAGAUCGAAAUUAUUUUAAUUGCUUCCUCCAUUUAUUGGUAUUCAUAUGUUUUCUGCUUUUAAUUGUUCUUAUAGCUAUCGUGUAUGAUUGAAUAGCUGCGCAAUAUUUAAUUAUUCAUGUAGACUAUUGUGCUAAUUAUGGGUAAUUGAAUCCGUAAUUGUUCGUUAUCUCUAUCUAAGUAGCAACUGGCGUAAUUGGGUUUAUGUCAGGAGAACAUACGAUCUAGUUUAAACAAACCCUCGUAGCGUGUUUGUUAGUUAGGAUUAUGCCUUUCUAAUUAUUAAUGCAAAUCAGAAAUUAAAUCCUACGGUCGUACCUAGGGUUGUUUCUGGGUUAGAGAAAUAGUUAACGGUCGUACCUUAACUAUCGAGAAAUUAAGAAAAGGUUGGUUGUUUAUCGCGUGCAUGACAACUAUAACUAGUCUAUUAAUAAAUGUUGGAAUUAUCUGUGAAUCGAUGAUCAGUGCAUGAACCAUUUUUGAAGUGUACCCUUGGUUAGAGUUCUCCCAAUUAAUUAUUUUGCACAUUUAAUUUAUUUAGUUAGCAAUUCAUUUGCAUUUAAUCUUAAAACCCCCCAUACUUUGAACUCUAGAAGAAACGAAUUAUCCCCAAUCCCUGUGGAUUCGACCCUACUCACCGCUGUAUACAAAAUCGGUAUUUCUCUUGAGUAGGUAAUUAUUAUUGCACAGGCUCGACAUCUGUCAUACACUCAUUUGCUAAGUUAUGCAUGAAUGGUUGUUGUGUGGAAUUCAACGACUUCACUAUUCUAUGAAGUCUUAGAAUCUCGCCAUCGCUCUGCAUUAGUUUGAGCUCGAAUCUAGUAGAUAAAUAAAUGUGAAAUUCGAGAGUUUUUCCUCACACAAGGAAUUUUUCUAUGUGAGAGUGAGAAUUUUCUCUGUUUUUAAACUUUGUUUUGAAAGUUUUAAUUGGUAUAGACUAGAUCUAUCGCAUGCACAGAUCUUGUAAUCAUAGAAAUGUAUUGUAUUAUAGAAAAUUUUAGAGUUUUACGAAUUUUUUUUUAGAAUUGUAGGAAUUCAUAUAUUUGCUGUUAUGAAUACAUUUUCGGGAGAACAAAAUUAACUUUUCCUUUUCUCAAGAAAGAAAAUGGACAAAAAUUCAAUUGGACUCUAUACAUUCCCGAACGAUGAUGAGUAACUGGGAUCAGGUCACUAGGUGACUGGGCUCAUAAGCAUGACCGGUUACCCGUAUAAUGACGGCCGUUGAAACUGAAAAUUUUCGUCACAAAUGACACGGACGUUACGAACCACUUGGAGCCUUGGGCACUUUGCCAAGGCCCAAUCAGUAGACUCGAUUAAUUGGGCAAACUGCCCACUAAACCUUUUUAAACGUCCGGUUUUGGUCACACACAAAAAAACAAAAAAAAAUUUCUGGGUCAUUUCGAAUUAAUUAUUCAGCUAGCCUAAGUGCCUCAUUUUUCCCAUUCGUCUAAUUUCUGCCUUUAUCCAGAGAAUUUUCGUCUAUUGUCUUCAACGGUAUAGCCAUUUACGUAUAGAAGUGAGACAUAUUGAUGAUACGUGGGCAUUUGAGUAGAGGAAACCAACAAAAAUGCCUUCAAAUAGAUAAUGAACUUAGUUGUGGGGCACUAAGCAUUGGAUUAAUUAAUAGAUAAAAUUGAACAAAAUGGGUAAAAUGAGAUAUUUACUAUUAUUGGAUAAUCCAUUUGAGACCCAAAAAAUUAGGGUCAAUGACUACGAGAUUUUCUAAUUGCCGUUAUUCGCAUGUCUUGCGUUUUCUUUAUCAACCUACAAAGUGAUUAUGUAGGAGACAUCCCGCAUGAUUAUGUAGGAGACAUCCCGCAUCGGAAGGGAAGAGGAAAGGAAAUGGUUUAAGAGCUUGGCCCUAGGCUAUCUUGAAAUUUGGGUCAAUGAAUUUUGAUUCAAAAAUUAUUUGGGCCAGACCUUGGAUCGUGUCGUGAUAAUUAGUAUUAAAGCUAACAUGGCAUGGUCUCUGUGUGAGAUGAGCCUGUGCCAACGGAUUAUAAUUUUGAUGACGAAUGGAAGUGCAAGGAAUUAAAUGUUGUGCGGGGCUAAAUGCCUCUUCGGGUGGGAACCACUUAUAGAACUUGUAUGAGUCACUCUAGAGUCCGAACACAAUCAAAUAGGCAGUUUGAAUCUAACGGAUUUGGAUCGUAACAGUUGGUAUCACAGCGAACCUCGCCUGUCUCUAUGCGGGGUGAGAUUGGGCCAACGAGUCAUGGUUCCGACUACGCAAAGAAGUGCAAGGAGUUAAGUGCUGUGCAAAAUAAAGUGCCACGUCUGGCGGGGAUCACUUCUAGAGUCUGUACGAGCCACCUUUAGAGUUUGAACACGAUUAAAUGGACAAUCUAGAUUUUGACAGAUUUUGCGAGGAUGCAAAGUUCAACAGGUGGAGAGAAUGAGACAUCCCACGUUGAAAAAGAAAGGAAACGGUUUGAAAGCUUGGCUCCUUAGCUACCUUAAAUUUGGGUUAAUUAUUUUGGGCUAAUGGAUUUCGGUUCAAAAAUUACUUGGGCAGCUCUUAGAUUUGGGUCAUGACAACGUAUGUGAUGGUGCAUGUGAUAUCAUGCCCGCUAAUAUUAAUUGAAGUCGUUUACUUUUUUUUUUCUUUGGGUCAGUUAGCAUUUGAUUUUUUUUAUUCCCUUCGUUUUCGGUUGAGAGUUAUGAUGAGUUGUAGGAUUAACUUGUGCAGAGAAUGAUAGGAGAAUGCAUGAAAUUGAUCUCGAAGAAAGUUCAUAUGAUGACUUGACUUAAAGAUUAGAUCAAGAAUUGGUUGAGUCUGCUUAUCACAAUUUAUUAAAAUCCUUUAAAAGGUGGACUUGGUUUUUUAGUUUCAAAAUUGGCAUAUUUGUUUUCCAAUUACACAAAGAAUUGGUCAAACGAGUGAAGCUCUAUCACUAGCUUCGUUAAAGUGAGUGAAUAUUACGUCCACAAGUAUAAACAAGUAUAGAAAAUUACUCCUCACUAAUAUGAGAUGAAAUCAAGUUUUAGACAGUGCUCGAAUUUCGUAUAAUUAUGGAGAUUGAUUUUACUAUUAACAAGAAAUGGAAUUAUGGAGAUCCAUUUUUUUUUCUCGGAGAAGAGGGAUAGAUUUGUAAAUUAAGCGUUGACUGAAAGUUUCUUUUUUUUUUUUUUUUUUUGAAGGGAAAGUUGACUGAAGUUUCUACGCUAUGGGACAAUAUUAAGCAUGGACUAAAUACUCUUAUUGUAUAAUGUCUAUUGUGGAAGCAUAAGAUCCAAGCAUAGUGUGGAAGCAUAAAAAUGUUCAAGCAGAAUUGAGCCAAUUGACUACCUUUCAAAACAUUCAAUUCUUGUAAAGAAAGACUAGGAUUAUGUUUGAAUCAUCCAUUUAUUUUUUCAAAGAAAAAGCCUUAGAUGUCUUCUUUAUCAGUUCAUCGAACUAGCAACUUCAUCUUGAUGAUUCAGACCAGUAAGCAGCUGCAAAUCAAGAUUUCAAGCAUUAGUACGAGCAGACAUCCUUUUCCAUGCCAGUGGGCACAACGCAUAUAGUAUAACUUUUCUCUUGUUUCCGUUUUUUUUUUUUUUUUGGGUCUACAAUGGAUUCCGAAUGAUAGAAGCCAGUUAGCUUACAAGACUUCGUCCAAAAUAAAAGAACUCAUCUAAAACAGGCAAAAAAUAAUGAACUUCAACUUGUGGGCUGUAUUAAAUUCUCGAGUAUACCUGUAGCUAUCAAACUUGAAGAUUUUCUUGAUGUACCCUCAGACCAAGUAAAACAUCCUUAAUGAGAUGUAAUUUUCUGACAACUUCAUUCAUAUGCAUCCGAUCAUUUGGCAAUUUUGCAGAGCACUUCAGUCCAAUUUUCAAUAGGGAAAUAAUGCAAUCAAUCUCUCUUCCACCAUUAUUAGUUUCCUCUCCAUGAGUAAUUCUACUGUUUUCAUCUCUUCCUUCAGAAAGAAGCAACGGGUCCACGAUCUCGGAAACUUGUUCAUGCAAAACCCUGUUAACAUAGUUAUGUAUAUUUAACUCAUCCAUGAACAUAUCAUCUGUUGGUCUCCUCUUUGUGAUCAUUUCUAGCAAAAGAAUGCCGUAGCUGUAGACAUCCCCUGGAGUUGAUGCCGCAUGACCCAUUCCAUACUCUGAAUUUUUGUUUCUAGAUAUAUUAUUGUCAUGUUGUAAAGGAGAAACUAUAUAUAUAUAUAUAUAUAUAUAUAUAAAAUCUAAGGGAGUAAAUUAAAUAUAGCUUUUAUGUUUAAGUACUAGUUUGUAAAUAAGACUUGAUUGAAAUUGUUAAAAUGAAUCACUAUACAUUUGGGUCAAUUGCUUAAUGUCCCUAUUGUCUUAUUCUCAAUAAGUAUCUCCUUAAAACUAAUGUCAAUAUCAUCCAAUAACUUCACAAAAGAGUCAUUUACAACUUUUUGCAUUAAGUGCAUCGAUUAAUUAUUUGCUAUUCCUCAUCUCUUUUUUUUUUUUUCCUUUUCUAUAUGGAAAUCCGACAUUUUCUUACCUUUUGCUUCAAUAAUAUGUAUAUUUUUCUUGUUUUAUACUAUUAUUAUUUAAUAUUAGCGUUAAUUUGCAUUACAAAGUUAUGUUGACCUCUCCUAUAACUGUUUAACAGAAUUUUAUAUUCAAGAAGAAGUAUAAAAAGUUUAAAAAAUCUGAUGGAAAUUAUGAUAAAAAAGAAUAAAGAUAACCAGCGAAAGUGCCAACUUUAAGUGCCAAACAGUAGUCUGUGCACAAUUAAGGUUCCGUUUGAUAAAACUGAAUCUGAAUUCUGAAGUUUGAUUUCUGAAAUCUGAAUACUGAAACAAUUAAUUUGUUGAAUUUUAAGUACUGCAAAAAAAUGUAUGAAUGUCUGAAUUUUAAUGUUAAACCUAUUUAUACUGUUUGAUAAACAUUUAUAACUGAAUGCUUAAUAAGUUAAAUAUGAUAAAUUUGCCCUUAUAUUUUUCAUCCAAAAAAGAAAGAGAACCUAUGAUUUAAUUAGCUAAAAAUGUUAGGUAUGAAAAUGAUAAUAUAUAUUUUAAAAUUAAAUUAAUAUAAAAGAUGAAAUAUAUAUAUUAUAUGAGGAGUAUGGAAAAGCUGUGAAAAUCAUUCAAAAGGGAAAAAAAAAGAAAUAGAAAAUGAUUAGAUAGAGAAUAUUAGAUUGUUUAAUUAGAUAAGAAUUUUGAAUAUAAUUAACAAACAAGGGUAGAUUUGGUAGAUAAGAUAAGGUAAUUGAAAUAAUUCUAUUGAUUCUUAUCAGAAUGAAGCAUUCAGUUAGGAUUCUUGUGUUGAAAAAAAUACACACAAGUUCAGUACUACUUAACAAGUUCAGCAAAUGAAUUUUCAUUUAUCAAAUACUCAAAACAUCUGAAUGUCUGAAAAAAUUCAGAUUCAGCACUUUUUUAUAUUAUCAAACAGAAACUAAGUAACAUUUUGACUGUAAACAUUCGUAAUUACCUGGAGCUGCGUAACCGAUUGACCCUUUUACGGCUAUAGAACUUCUGGUUCCCUGUUCGGAAGAUCUGUUGUUGGGUUUUGGGAGAAGCCUUGCCAAUCCAAAAUCACCCACAUGGGCAACAAGAUCAUUGUCAAGAAGAAUGUUACUUGGUUUUAGAUCACAAUGAACAAUCUCUGCUUCGCAGUGGUCGUGAAGAUAUUGCAAUGCUGAAGCCACAUCAAUUGCAAUAUUUAGCUUCUGAAGAAGAUUAAGACUUCUUGAGCUUGUUGCUUGAUCAGUUGUCUCUGCAGGAUGCAACCACAAGUCCAGAUUCCCAUUUUCCAAAAACCCGUAGACUAGAGCUUUGAAUUCAUCACCCUUGGAAUCAAUACUGGAGCAAUAACUCACGAUAGAGACAAGGUUUCUAUGGCGAAUGUUUCUCCAUGUUUUGCACUCGGCCUUAAAACUUUUGGAAGCCCCAUUCUUUUGAAGAUCAAGAACUUUGACUGCUACAAGCUUGUUGCCAUGUUUUUCUAGCCUUCCUUUGUAGACAGAUCCAAAAUGUCCCGAACCAAUUAAGUUUCCUGGAGAAAAUCCUGAAGUUGCACGAUGAAGUUCAUGGUAAGAUAUUCGCAAGAGCUUAUUGACUCUUGUAGGCAUGCUAGAGAAUCCGGCCACCAGUCUUCUUUCUCUUUUUCGAUAUACCAAGAGAUAUAACAACACUGUACCAAGAACCAGAAGCAUUGCCGGUAAAACAAUGGACAGCAAUAUGAUAACCUUUAGCUUUCCUCUGUUUUUCCCCUUAAUCACUGGGCAAGGUGGGAACUCCAAUUCGGGAAUGCCUCCACAGAGUUUGUUGUUGCCAAUCAAUGAUAUUUGACUUGCAUUGCUGAAAAUCCCUGUGUUUGGUACCUCUCCCUCGAUGUCGUUGUAGGAAAGGUUAAAGUACCUCAAAUAUUGAAGCUUCUCAAGUUCCUUUGGUAUUGAUCCGGUCAAGUUAUUACUUGAAAGGUCUAUUUGCUGGAUGCUCUUCAAAGAAGCCAAAUUUGGUGAAAUUGUUCCUUGGAAAAAAUUGGCCUGCAUGGAAAGAUUCGCCAGACUUGAACAAUCAGCAAGUGAUAUGGGUAUAUCUCCGGAAAAUUGGUUGUGGGAAACAUUGAAAUCCACCAAGUGUAUAAGCUUUCCAACUUCCAGAGGCAGAGAACCACUAAACGAAUUUUCACCAAAUUUCAAGUACGUCAGUGAUGAGUGCGUCUGCAAAAAUUGUGGUGAUAUAAUUCCAGUGAAGUUGUUAUGAGAUAUAUCUAGAUAUUGCAAAUUUUGACAGCUCAUAAGAACAUUGUCAAAUACAUUGCCCCCUUCAAACUGGUUAAAUGAUAAGUCCAGAUGGUAUAGACCUGUGGCAUUACAUAGGGUAGAGACUAUCUGUCCUGACAACUCAUUUUGGUCUAGACUUAGAAAUUGCAAAUUUUGUAAUUUGCCAAAAUCACUUGGAAUGACACCAGAAAGUGAGUUUUCAUCAAGGGCAAGGAUAUAUAGGUUGACAAAGUUUCCAAAUCCUUGUGGAAUGGUUCCUGACAGUUGGUUUCCUCCCAAGUACAAUGAAGUGAGUUGAUUUGAGAGAUUGGCCAUGACUUUAGGUAUAUUACCUCCAAAAUUAUUGUUACUCAAUGAAAAAACGCUUAGAUCACUGCAGUUGGUCAAUGAUGCAAUAAAAUCUAAGUCUCCAGUUGAAUUACCGCCGAAGACGUUUUCUUCAAGAUUUAAAUAUUGAAGAUUUGUCAGAUCUCCUAAAUUAGCUGGAAUUUGGCCAGCGAACUUAUUGCUGGAAAGAUCAAGUUCCUCAAGCCCAGAAGCAUUGGUGAUUGAAGUGGGAAAGUUUCCAGAGAAAUUGUUCGACCCGACAUACAACACUUGUAGAUUUGGUAGGGCGAGACCUAUGUUGGUUGGGAGAUUGCCAUGAAAGGAAUUGCCGGCCACUGAAAUGAUCAUAAUACCUGAAUUAUUGAAGAUAGAGGCAGGGAUUAUACCAGAUAGUUUAUUUCCAGCAACUCCUAACAGAACCAACCUUAAGAGCCCCAUUUCCAUGGGCAAAUUUCCCUCCAGAUUGUUGAUGCCGAGAUCGAUUCGGAUCAAUGAUGAUAAGUUCCCAAUGGAAGAGGGAAUCUGUCCCGUCAAAUUGUUUGACAAAAGAUUUAAAUUUUCAAGCUUCUUCAUAUUGCUUAGCUGAUCAAUGGGAAAUUUCCCUUCUAGCUUAUUCCCCUUUAGGCUAAUUGUUACCAACUCUGUGCAGUAGCUCAGGUUUGCUAGGAUUUUUCCACCGAGUGCGUUUCCUGACAGGUUCAAAACUCUUAGCCUGAAGAGGUGACCGAAAUCUUGGGGAAUCCCACCAUGGAAUUGAUUUCCCCCAAGUUCCAUGAACCUCAUGAAGCUUAGAUUUCCGACAUGAGGAGAUAUGGUUCCAGACAACUGGUUAUGGCGUAGAGUCAAGGCUAUGACCCUCUGAUGUCGAGCACCACAAGUGACUCCUUCCCACCGGCAAUGGUGCUGUGAGUGGUUCCAGGAAUUCAGCGCUCCAAACGGGUCGUCAUGUAUCUGAUUCUUGAACUCAAGCAGAGCCACGCGAUCGGUCUCAUUUUGAAAUUGUUUUGCUGCUGAAACAUGGUUUCCUGGAAAGUUCAUGGCAACUACGAGUAGGAGAAAAAUGUUAGCUAACGUUGAUGAGCGAAAUCCCCACAUGGUAUUUGGAAUUUCGAUGGGCUGUGAAGGAAAGAUGGAUUAAUUUGAAACAAAAUUGAUGAUUGAAUGGUAAAAGUGUCUGUGGAAUGAGAACAAUGUUUUGUAUAUAGCCCACACAAUUGGAACUAAUGGGACUUAAUUUUCUUGGUAUAUUUUUGUGGAAUUUGAGCUAAACCUCGUUGAGAUGAUGGAGAUUAAAAGCCUAAUUUUUCCAAAUUACAUUUCAAUCUUCCCGGAGACUAGGAACCUUGGCUUAGUGUUAGGUCUAAUCCCAAAAAAUAGACCAAUAAGAAUAAUAGGAUUUUUGACAAUUUAACAAUGACAAUGACAAAACCAAUAAAUCAAACAGAAAGAAACAAAAUUUUAUGUGGUUUGGUCAAAUUGAUCUAUAUCCACGGGUGAAGGGGUAGCAAAUUUACUAGAACAUAAAGAAAGUACAAAAGAGAAGAGAAUACAAAAUUCUAGAAAAUAAUUUCUAGACUCGAAAGACACUUAAAACUGAAAACACAAAAGAACCUAACUAACAUUAAAUGUUUAACGGUCCAAAAGCCUAUAAGUUUUUUUUUUUGUCAAAACAAAAGCCUAUAAGUUGCUCUUUUGGUUUGAUGCCUAAAUAAAAUCUCUCUUAGAUUGGGUCAUGGGGCCCUUAAAACUCUCUUGAAUUGGUGCAUACGACACUUGGGAUAGUACCUUUAGCAUAGUUAAACUCAUUUAAAUCCAUUAUAUUUAUAACUAGCAAGAGGAGAGAUUUUUUUUGUAAAAUUUCCUGAUAUGAGAUACAAAGAUAAACUCAACAAUUCUAUAUCUUAGCGUGCAUCCAACAUUGGUAAAUUGCAAACAAAUAGCAAAUAAACUCCACAUCCUCCAUAAAUGUCCUAACGGAUCCCAACAAACCACCAAAGUUCUAACAGAUCCCAAUGAGCCACCAACGAAUCAGGGUGCAAAAAGCUCAAUGGAUUCCAACGGGUCAAAACUCAUAAAAGGUUCAACAGAUCCCAACAAACUAAAAAUCAUGAACAUAGUAAUCUUACUCCACCUUCCUCACAAAACCUUCAACGAGUUCCAACAGGUCAAAUAGCCCUUCUUCAAAACCAAUUGAACUCCAGUAAAAAUUUUUUCUUCACUUUUUUUAGUGAUCAAAAUCUGUUAUUGUCAUCAAGAACCCAAAACCUGAAGCUCUGAUACCAAUUUAUUAAGUCUGAUUCCAGAAAAUUGACCAAUAAGAAUAAUAGGGUUCAAAAGGAUAGCAGAUUUACUAUAACAUAAAAAGAAUACAAAAGAGAGAGUAUAAAAUCCGAUAAACUAAUUUUUAGGCUUGAAAGGCAUCUAAAAUUAAAAAUACAAAAGAGUCUAAUUAGCACUUUGUUCAUGGCAACUAAGAGUAGGAGAAAAAUGCUCGCUAAUGUUGAUGAUGAGAGAAAUCCCCACAUGGUAUUUGGAAUUUCGAUGAGCUGUGAAGGCAAAGAUGGAUUAAUUUGCAACAAAUUGAUGAUUGAAUGAUAAAAGUUUCUGCGGAAUGGGAACAAUACUGUUUGAGCUGUUAUAGAAUCUUGUGUAUAGCCCACACAAUUGGAACUAAUUUUCUUGGUAUAUUUCUGCGGAAAAUGAGCUAAACCUCGUUGUGAGAACUUAAUAGAGAAAUGGUCAGUAAGCUUCCACCAACUUGCAAUUUACGCAUAUCGACCAUGACUAAUACUUUUCAAAGCUGGGAUUAAUGUGAUCAUCUACCAGAGAUGAUGAUUAACAGGAAGCCUUCAUUUGUGUGGCGUACUUGAUCUUCCCAAUUAACACAAAUCACAAGAAUCUUGAUAGUCUUAGGUGAUGUUCCCAAUUUUUCCCCUUUUUAUGUUGUUUUAAUGCCAUUUUCUCAAAAAAAAUUUAAUUUUUUUAAAAAAGAAGGGUUUGUUUUUGAUGUUAUAAUUUUUAGUUUGUUCUCUUUUUUAUGUUGACUUAAUGUCAUAUGUGCAUAUCAGGUGUCUGCUAGAUUUAGAAAAAAAAUUAAAGUAAUGUUCCAAUGUUACCCCUAAAAUCUAUAUCAGAUUGUCAUCCUGAAGCUAAUUUACUUCAUUUUAGAAUGUGUGAUAGACAAGAAAAAGAUUUUUUUUUUUAAAAAAAAAAGAAACAUGAGAGAUGAAACAAUUUGGUGGUCCCAAGAUUUUUAAUGAAACGGAAAAAUAGUUGGUGAAGACUAUCAUUUAAGAUAGCAUAUGGUAACACAUGGUCCGCAGCUGCUGGAUAAUAUUGCCUAGAUGUCAAAAAGAUAUUGAUACCCUUAAGAGUUAAUCAUAGUAAAUCCCCUUAACGUUUAGUCAUUUUUCCCUUCACCCUUUAAUGUCAUCUUUCUCUUAAUUUGUCUACUUGUCCCUAAAAUCAUUAGUCAAUUCUAAUAUUUUGAACUACUCAAAACAAAUAAUGUCUAAAAAAAUAAUAAUAUCCCUAAUAUAAUAAUAAAAAUUAUUAUGUAUUUAUGGAUAUAGAUCUUGUUAAAUUUUAUCCCCGUAAUUACAUAUAUUUUAGAAAAAGAAAAAUAUCUCGCUCAUCUCACAUGAUAAGGAAAAAACAUAUUAGUACAAAACUAAAUUAUAAAAACACUAUUAAAGAUCUAUAGAUGGGUUUGCUUGGAUUGGAGAUUAUUUGGAAAAUUUUUUAGAAUAAAAGCAUUUUUGCAAUUUGACAUUUGUGAGAUAAAAAGGUGGUUAAAAAUAAAAGUGAUUGAAAAAAGGUGUUCAAAUGCAAAAAAAAAAAAAAAAACUUUUAGAAAAAUUUAGCAAUCCAAAUAAAUUUUAGGGUAAAUUACUUAUAACCCUCUUGUAAUUUUACACAAUGCCAGGUGACCCCCCUAAGGUUUCAAAAUAGCCGCAUAACUUCCCCAUGAUUUUAUACAAAUUGAAAAAUGGAUAGAAUAUACAAUCAGUGACAUGUGCCAAACCUGUACAAUAAUAAAAAUAAACCUAGUUGCCAAUAAAAGCAGUCAAUAAUUAAUUCUAGAUAUUGGAGCAGGGACUCUAGGUGUGCAAUGAGUUACUUGAUUCACCCUGUUCCCGAAAAAUUUGCUUAAUCCGAUAUACCAGAAUUAAUUAAUUGACAAAAUUUAUUAACUAGUAGAUAGUAGCAAGCAUGGUCGUCUCCUCAGGGACUGGGGAUAUUUGUCUCUUUGAAGUUCCAAUUGGUAAAAAGAAGGGUUGUAUCGGAAUAAAGCUAAAAAUAAUUAAGCAAUUCACUAAAACGAAUAAUUAACUAGCACGAAUGUAGACAGGAAUUAAAUCAAGAAUAGAUAAAUUCUAGCCAAGGAUACAACUAUUCAGACAUAAUCCAUUCAUUCGAUCAUUGAUGCAAGGAAGGUUCACUUAAUUUAUUAAUAGGUUAGUUAUAGUCGCCGACGAACUCUGACGACCAAUUUUUCCUUAAUUUAUCGGUAAUCAAGGUACGACCAUUGAUUAUCCCUAACCAGAAAAUACUCUUAAGUACGACCGUAGGAAUUAAUUCCCCAAUUGCAUUAAGAGCUAGAAAAACCUAACUCCGAUCAAUAACAUGCUACGAGGGUUAUUUAAAUCAGAUUGCAUGUUCCCCUAGGGUAUAAAAAUGCUAGUUGCCACUAAUAUUAAUCAAUUUAAACAAUUAUGGAUUUAAUUGACUAAUUUGACAGGAAGUUAAUAAGUCGCAUUGAACAUCGAUCCCUUGACAUUCAAUUAACAAAAUAAUCCCGUAGAAAUUCAAAUAGACAACAUGCAAAUAUUAACAAAUUAAGGAACGCAUGAAAAUUAAUUCGAUCUCACAGAUAUUCGGGACUGCGUCGUUGCGUUGAUUCUUGACUAGAUGAAAAGCUUAACCACGCCGCAUAAAUAAAUCUCCACGCAAAGUAAUUGAUUCACAAGGCAUCCCGUCUUUCACUAAAAAGCAAGAAGUAAAAGAUGUUUUCCAGUGGGGAAUAAAGCCGAACAGUCGGCACGCAUGAACAAGGAAGAAGAAAGGAAAACAAAACUAUUGCUCCAAAAAAACCAUUUCACAAGAGAGCCAAAGUACCCAAAAGAAAGCUCUGCCGAAUUCCACUUUUCUAGUUUCCUAUUGCUAGUUAAAGACUUCAAUGCUCAAAACACUCCUAAUCAGCAAAAGGGAAUGCAAUCCGUUUGCAGCUCCAUGUGGGCCAGGGUUUGUGAAGGCUUUUGGAGUCUCCCACGUGUGGAGCAAUUUUCUCCAACAGGUCCCCCUUUUUAGCCCUUUUUAGUUUCAUUUCCUGUAGAGAGGUCCAAAUACCAAAUAUAAGUAUUUAUUAACAAUUUAAACCGAUAUUUGGUAAGGACAAAGGAGGAAAUUAAUAAUAAAAUUACUAACAAUUAACACCCUAUCAAUUCCCCCCAUACCUAAAUCAUGUUUGUCCUCAAGCAU